rnacentral:lncRNA from 1 species
UUUAAUAUGGUAUCAGAGCAGGUGCUCCAGGGAGGUCAUGUGUUCAAGCCCCUGCAUUGUCGUUUCCUCCCCAAUUAAAAUCAAUUUCCACUUGUUGGGCCUUUCAAAUAUUUCAAACCCAAAAGUGAGGUAAAAUUUAUUCCACUUGUUGGGCCUUUCAGAUAUUUCAAGCCCACAAGUGAGGGGGAGUGUUGGUGAUAUAUAAUUAAAUUUGCCUUCAACCACAAGCUUAAGCUUUUGGAUGAAUUGGUGGUUUAAUACACUCUUCUAGGGCUUUUUGUCUUCCAAAUUGUCGAGUACUUUGUUUUCAAGACUGUGUUAGAACCUGUUUUCUGUAAAUGUUUGGCUGAUUAAUAAAUUAGUAGAACACACUAUUUGGUGUUCUAUCAUUUUGGUAUCGGAGAAAUCGAAUCUGUGAAGUUCUAUUAUCAUGGCUCAAAAGCGAAUUGAGGAAAAGUUGGAAAUGGUAGAUCAAGAAAUAUCCGGCAUUCGAGCAGAAUUACAUGAUCUGCCAACAAUCAAGGAAAACAUGUCAUCUUUGGCGAAGAGUAUUGAGAGGUUAGGAGUACAGGCUGAGAAGCAACAACAGCAACCAGAAACACUGUUGAAAUAUAUUGAAGGAAUGAUCAAAGGGAAGACAACGAUGGAAGAAGUACUAGAAGGAUCAUCAAGUGAAGUUGACAGCAUGGUUGAUGUCAGUUAUUGGACGAUGAUGGGAGGAAAAUCUGAGGAAAAACAUACCAAGUUGGAGGGUGAAGAUUCUGCGGGUGACCGAAGCAAAUUUAAAAAUAUUGAAAUGCUAGUUUUUGUGGGAAAUGAUCCUGAUUCUUGGUUGUUUAGGGCUGAGAGAUACUUUCAGAUACACAAACUGAGUGAGUCAGAGAAAAUGACUGUGUCCAUUAUUAGUUUUGAUGGAGCAGCUUUGGAUUGGUAUAAAUCUCAUGAAGAUCGUGAACCGUUUGUUAAUUGGGACGAUUUAAAGAAGAGACUUAUUGUUUGAUUUCGAUCGAGUCGUGAGGGAUCAAUUCUGGGAAGAUUUUUAAAGAUCAAGCAAGAAAUUACAGUGGAAGAAUAUUGGAAUUUAUUUGAUAAAUCAGUAGCACCAUUGCCUUUUCUACAAAAGGCUGUCUUAGAAGAAACAUUUAUGAAUGGUUUGAAACCAUGGAUUAAGGCAGACAUGGAAUGUUGGGAACCUAUGGGCUUUGCUCAAAUGAUGAAGUUGGCCCAAAAGAUUGAGAACCGAGAAGUGAUAAGGGAGAAUCAAGUUUCAAACGUGCAGCGGAUGGAAAAUUCCAGGUUUCUGCUUCUUUUAAACCUCAAAUUCCUGUGAUUUCUAAUGAUAAUAAGUCAGGAGGGAUUGUUCCAAUGCGGAUGAUUACACUUCGAGGAGUGGCUGGUGAACCUAAUCGACGAGAAGGACCACUAAAACGACUUUCUGAUGCUGAAUUUCAGGCUAGACGUGAGAAAGGUCUCUGUUUUCGUUGUGAGGAAUGAUUUUUUGUGGGCCAUAAGUGUAAAGUGAAAGAUCAUAAGGAACUUAGAGUUUUAGUUGUUGGGGCAAAUGGGGAAGAACUAGAAGUAGUUGAAGAAGAGGAUUCAAAAGUGGAAACUGAAAUACAGGAGACUGAAGUUGUUAAACCAGAAGAACCCGUGAUCGAAUUAUCAAUAAAUUCGGUGGUGGGAUUAACAAACCCUGGAACUAUGAAAAUUAAAGGUAUGAUUAGAGAAAGGUCAGUAGUAGUAUCGAUAGAUUGCGGCGCGACCAAUAAUUUUAUAUCUGAAAAGUUAGUAACUCAAUUGUUGUUGCAGUUGCAGGAAACUUCUGAUUAUGGGGUUAUUUUGGGGUCUGAAUCUGCUGUAAAAGGGAAGGGAAUUUGUAAACAAGUGGAACUGCUAUUGGGUGAAUGGAAGGUUGUGGAUAAUUUUCUGCCAUUGGAAUUGGGGGGGAGUGGAUGUCAUUCUUGGUAUGCAAUGGCUACAUACAUUAGGAGUAACCGAAGUAGAUUGGUGAAAACUUACUUUGACAUUCAUACAAAAUGGGAAGAAGGUUGUAUUAAGGGGAGAUCCGAGUCAUACGAAGGCUAGGGUGAGUUUGAAGCACAUGAUGAAGACAUGGACAGAACUUGAUCAGGGAUUUCUGAUUGAGUGUAGAUCUUUGGAAGGUGGAAUGGCAUUUGCAGCGAUGUAUGGGGUUGAUGAAGUGCCUACCACUCAUGAGUCUAUUCCAGCCGUGUUAGCUAAGAAUGAAGAUGUUUUUGAUUGGCCUGGAGAGUUGCCACCACAAUGUACCAUUGAACAUCAUAUACAUCUUAAGAAGGGGACUAAUCCAGUCAAUGUUCGGCCUUAUAGAUAUGCAUACCAGCAAAAGGAGGAGAUGGAAAGAUUGGUUGAUGAAAUGAUGGCAUUUGGCAUAAAAACCUAGUACUAGUCCAUAUUCGAGCCCGGUCUUGUUGGUGAAAAAAAAUGGUAGUUGACGGUUUUGUGUAGAUUACCGUGCGUUGAAUAGUGUGACCGUUCCAGACAAGUUUCCUAUUCCAGUAGUAGAGGAAUUGUUUGAUGAACUUAAUGGGGCUAAUAUAUUUUCGAAGAUUGAUCUCAAGGCGGGAUAUCAUCAAAUUAGAAUGUGUAAAAAGGAUGUGAAGAAAACAGCUUUUAGAACUCACGAGGGGCAUUAUGAGUUUCUUGUCAUGCCUUUUGGGCUCACCAAUGCACCAUCAACGUUUCAAGCUUUGAUGAAUAGUAUCUUUAAACCUUACCUACGCAGGUUUUCUUAGUCUUUUUUGAUGAUAUAUUAAUUUACAGCAGAAGUUUGGAUGAAAAUCUUCAACAUUUAGAAUGGGUGUUAGAGGUGCUGCGAGAGAAUAAAUUAUAUGCUAAUAUGCAGCACAAGUGUGGGUUUGCCAAAAUGAAAGUGGAGUAUCUUGGCCAUAUAAUUUCGGGCAAGGGUGUAGAGGUUGAUCCCGAGAAAAUUAGAUCUAUCAAAGAAUGGCCCGUGCCCACUAAUGUCCGUGAAGUUCGUGGAUUUCUUGGGUUGACAGGAUAUUAUCGAAGAUUUGUAAUGAAUUAUGGAAGUGUGGCUGCUCCUUUGACUCAAUUAUUGAAGAAAGGAGCAUAUGAAUGGACUGUUGCAGCUGCUGAAGCUUUUGAGAAUUUAAAGAUGGCUACGAUGACUCUCCCAAUCUUAGCACUGCCAGAUUUUUCCUUACCAUUUGAAAUAGAGACCGAUGCUUCUGGAUACGGGGUAGGUGCUGUCUUAAUUCAAAAUCAUCGGCCAAUUGCUUAUUUUAGCCAGACAUUAGCUAUGAGGGAUCGUGCUAAACCAGUUUAUGAACGGGAAUUAAUGGCUGUAGUUUUGGCUGUGCAACGCUGUAGACCUUAUCUUUUGGGCAGGAGGUUUGUAGUGAAAACUGAUCAACGAUCAUUGAAACUUUUAUUGGAACAAAGGGUUAUCCAACCUCAACAUCAGAGGUGGAUUGCUAAGCUUCUUGGCUACAAUUUUGAUGUCGUGUAUAAACCGGGACUAGAAAACAAAGCAGCAGAUGCCUUGUCUCGUGUCCCUCCUACUGCCCAACUUAAUCAACUUACUGUUGAGAUCAGUUAAAUUGGCAGUCCCCAACACUGAAGUUGACCCUAAAUUAGUCCCAGAAAUUAAUGGGAUGGAUCUGAAUGUCUUGUUCAAUGAUGAAGAUAUUCUCCCUAUUAAAAUUCCCCUGGAUUUGCCUAAAGAUUUAGUGUCUAUAGUCGGUGAUUGUGGAAUCAUUCUGGCUUAAAUUAGAUGUGCAACUGCCUUUUCCUCCUCCCAGUCAUUAUUAAGGUUGUCUCCUGGAACACUAAGGGUUUGAACGACUCCUCUAAACGUGCAGCACUUAAAAAAUUCAUCAACAAUUGUAGUCAUGAUUCAAGAAUCUAAGAAGGAUACCUUGAACUCGGCUUUUAUAAAAUCAUUGUGGAGUUCUAAGGAUAUUGGCUGGGAUUAUGUGGCUUCUGUUGGAUCUUCUGGGGGAAUUCUUACCAUGUGGGACAGCAGUAAAAUAUCUGUAACAGAGGUCAUUAAAAGACGCUUCUCUUUGUCAAUCAAAUGCCUCACUUUGUGCAAAAAGGUUUGUUGGAUCACAAAUGUCUAUGGCCCUUGUGGUUGCAGAGAAAGGAAAUUGGUUUGGCCCGAAUUGUCUUCCUUGGCUGAUUGUUCGGCCGUGGCCUGGUGCAUAGGUGAGGAUCUUAAUAUCACUCGUUGGGCCCGGGAAAGAUUUCCUUUUGGCAGAAGUACUAGAGGAAUGUCAUUAUUCAAUAAGUUUAUUAACAUGGUUUCUCUCAUGGAAAUUCCAUUGCAAAAUGGAAGGUUCACUUGGUCUAGAGACGGUAAUUCUCCUUGAAGAUCAUUAUUAGACAGAUUCUUCAUAAAUCAGAUGUGGGAUGUUUGUUUUGAAAAUUCUCGGGUUUCUCGAAAAGCACGCAUCUUCUCGGAUCACUUUCCUUUAUUCUUGGAGGCUGGUUCUUUUCUUUGGGGUCCCUCUCCUUUUCGGUUUUGUAACAGCUGGUUGGUGUCCAGUGAUUCUAAUCAGAUUAUUGUUGAAACAGUGAGCAACUCUAACUUCCAGGGAUGGGCUGGUUUCAUUCUUCAUGAGCAGUUGAGAUCAGUUAAAUUGGCAGUAAAAGCUUGGAAUAUUGCUGCGCAAGCUAAGGUAAAAAAAAAAAACAGAGAAAUCCUUGAUGUCAAAAUUAGAAAAAUAUGAUUCUGUGGCUGAGUUGAUUGGAUUAAAUCAAGAAGAGUUGAAUUCUAGAGCUGCUUUGCAAGCGGAAUUACUUAGUAUUUAUCAAAAUGAAGAGCGUAAUUUUAUUCAGAAGAGUAAACUCAAUUGGCUUUCUUUGGGUGAUGAGAAUACGGGCUUCUUCCACCGCUUUCUAAAUGCGAAUAAAAGAAGGAACCUCAUAACUGAAUUAAAAGAUGAUGAUGAGGUUGUCUCGACUUCAUUCCGCGACAUUGAAAGGCUUGUGCUGGAAUUUUUUGAGUCAAUUUAUACCAGAAUUCCGGGGGACAGAUUCAUCCCUAUUAACAGUAAUUGGUCUUGUGUUUCCUCAAUUCAUAAUGAGGCUCUUGUUACCCAAUUUUCAGUGGAGGAGAUCUUUAAGGCAUUAAAGGCACUUGGCAACAAUAAAGCUCCGGGCCCGGAUGGCUUCACAGUGAAGUUCCUAAUCACCCAAUGGUCUAUUUUCAAGGAUAUCUUCAAAUCACUAAUGUCUGAUUUCCACAGAAAUGGAAGAUUAAAUGCUUGCAUCCAAGAAAACUUCAUUUGUUUAGUGCAGAAAAAAGAGAAUGUGACUCUAGUCAAGGAUUUCCGUCCAAUCAGCCUUACUACGUUAGCAUACAAGGUCGUUGCAAAGGUUUUAUCUGAACGUCUAAAACAAGUUAUGGAUGCAAUUAUAAGCCCCACUCAAAGCGCCUUUAUUGAAGGUAGGCAAAUUCUUGACCCAAUAUUAAUUGCUAACGAGGCCGUGGAAGAUUAUAGGGCAAAACGAAAAAGAAAAAAGAUGGAUUUUAAAACUUGACUUGGAAAAAGCCUUUGAUAGGGUGAAUUGGAACUUUUUAGAAAAAAAUUUAUCUUUGAAAAAGUUUAGUUCCAAAUGGAUAUCAUGGAUAAUGGGCUGCCUAAAAAAUCCAAAGUAUUCAGUCUUCAUCAAUGGUAAGCCUAGAGGCUGGAUAACAGCAUCUAGAGGUAUCCGCCAAGGGGACCCCCUCUCCCCCUUUUUAUUUCUCCUAGUAAGUGAGGUUUUAGGAGAAAUCAUAAACAAGCUUCAUAUUAACAGCCAGUUUGAAGGUUUCCUUGUUGGCAAAGACUUGAUCCACCUCCCUUUGCUUCAAUUUGUCGAUGAUACUCUUCUCUUUUGUAAGUAUGAUGUGAAGAUGCUCCUUAAACUUUAAAACGUCAUUAGAUUAUUCGAAUAGUGUUCGGGGCAGAAAGUAAACUGGGAAAAAUCAGCCCUUAGCGGCGUUAAUGUGGGAGAGGAAGAUUUGUUUCAAACAGCAAAUCUGAUAGGGUGCAAGGUAGAAAAGCUUUCGAUUAUAAGGUAUAUUAUACAUGCAAUCAAACAAUCACAACAUACAUACCAUUUACUCAAAACGACCUAAAACAUGCUCAAAACGACCUAAAACGUGCUCAAAACAUGUCUAACUUUCACUGCAACUUUCAAAACGACCUAAAACAGCUUACGUGCAGGUUCGUAACUCAUAACCUACGAAAAAAGUUCAAAUAUUGUGAAAAAAGCACUACAAGACCCAAAAUGGCAACCAAGUGUGUAAGUGCAACAAACUUAGUUCAAACCACCCUAAAACGUGCUCAAAACGUGUCUAGGUAUUACUUGAGUUUUUCAAAACGACCUAGCAAAUCCUAAGGGUAAGUUCGUAACUCAUAAUCUACCAAAAAGGUUGAAAAAAGCAUUUCAAGACCAAAAGUGACAACCAUGUGUGUAAGAGCAACAAACUCAAUCUAACCUAAAAUGUAUUCAAAACGUGUGUAAGUAUCACUUUAAUUUUCAAAACGACCAAGCAAUGCUUAAGUGUAAGUUUGUAACUCACAACCUACCAAAAUUUCAAAAAGUGUGAAAAAAGUACUUCAAGACCCAACAUGUCAAUCAAAUGUGUUUAAAACUUAGUGUCAAACCAACCUAAAACGAGUUUAAAACGUGUCUAAGUAUCACUUGAACUUUCAAAACGACCUAAAACAGCUUACGUGUAGUUUUGUAACUCAUAACCUACGAAAAAAGUAUAAAUAGAGUGAAAAAAGCACUACAAGACCCAAAAUAGCUACCAAGUGUGUAAGUGCAACAAACUUAGUUCAAACCAACCUAAAACAUGCUCAAAACGUGUCUAGGUAUUACUUGAGGUUUCAAAACGACCUAGCAAAUCCUAAGUGUAAGUUAGUAACUCAUAAUCUACCAAAAAGGUUGAAAAAAGCAUUUCAAGACCAAAAAUGACAACCAAGUGCAACAAGCUGAAUCUAACCUAAAAUGUAUUCAAAACGUGUGUAAGUAUCACUUGAAUUUUCAAAACGACCAAGCAAUGCUUCAGUGUAUGUUUGUAACUCACAACCUACCAAAAUUUCAAAAAGUAUGAAAAAAGUACUUCAAGACCCAACAUGUCAAUCAAAUGUGUGUAAAACUUAGUUUGAAACCAACAUAAAACGAGUUCAAAACGUGUCUAAGUUUCACUUGAACUUUCAAAACGACCUAACAAAUAUUCAAUACAAGUUCAUAAGUCAUAACCUAGCAAAAAGUUCAAAAUUUUUGAAAAUGACACUCCAAAACCCAAAAUGUCAAUUGUGUAAGUGCAACGAACUUAGUUCUAUACAAACCUAACAAUUAUUCAAAACACGUAUAAGUUUUCGAACAAACUAACAACGCUUAAGUGUAAGUUUAUAACUCAUAACUUACCAAAAAUUUCAAAAAGUGUGAAAAAAAAUCUUUCAAGACUCAAAAUGGCAACCAUGGCUGUAUGUAAAACUAACUUAGUUUGUAACAACCUAAAAGGUAUUCAAAAAAUGUUUUAAGUAUCACUCGAACUUUAAAAACGACCUAAUAAUGCUUUUAGUGUUACUUCAUUAACUCAUAACCUACCAAAAAGUUCAAAAAAUGUAGAAAAAGCACUCCAAAAUCCAAAAUGGCAACCAAGUGUGUAAGUGCAACAAACUUAGUCUCAACUUUAAAAUUAGUGCGAGUUGGGAAAUGUAUUAACUCAACCAUGAUGUACAAACUUGAAACGACUUAAAUAUUUAUUCACCAUCACAUAAAAACAGUAAUUAAAUAUAGAUAACAUGUGUAAAUAAAGGGAGAAUCACCUUUCUAGCAAUAGCUUUAGAGUAAGACCAAACACCAUCCUUCUACUUGUAAAUCUGCUCGAUUGUCUACUUUGUUCUACACUCGUCAUUUCACCGUCUCAGGCCAUCCAUUGAAUUGGCCACCCAGCCUUGGCAUACAAGAGUAUGUCUCAACCUGUUAACAAAUACCACUAAAACUAAGCAAGACAAAGAAAAAAGUUGUCAAAAAAUUACCUAACUUUUAGGUCUUCAUGUGACCUUUAAGUUCUUCUGUCUUCUCCUUCAACUCUUUAACAGAUUGCUGAAAUUAUGUGUUUCUGCAAUGUGUACCAGAACAUGAAAGAUUCAUUACGAAAAUAAAUACCAUGAAUACAAAGCAUGAAGAAAUAGUAAAACAGUCAAUACAAGAAGAAAAAAGUUCACUUGAAAACGACCUAAAACAGUAUCACUUGAACAAAAUGUGUCUAAGUAUCACUUGAACUUUCAAAAUGACCUAAAACAGCUUACAUGUAGGUUCGUAACUCAUAACCUACGAAAAAAGUUCAAAUAGAGUGAAAAAAGCACUACAAGACCCAAAAUGGCUACCAAGUGUGUAAGUGCAACAAACUUAGUUCAAACCAACCUAAAACGUGCUCAAAACGUGUCUAGGUAUUACUUGAGUUUUCAAAACGACCUAGCAAAUCCUAAAUGUAGGUUCGUAACUCAUAAUCUACCAAAAAGGUUGAAAAAAGCAUUUCAAGACCAAAAAUGACAACCAAGUGCAACAAACUCAAUCUAACCUAAAAUGUAUUCAAAACGUGUGUACGUAUCACUUAAACUUUCAAAACGACCAAACAAUGCUUAAGUGUAAGUUUGUAACUCACAACCUACCAAAAUUUCAAAAAGUGUAAAAAAAGCACUUCAAGACCCAAAACGACAACGAAGUAUGUAAGUGCAACUGACUUAGUUUGAAGCCAUCCUAAAAAGAGUGCAAAACGUGUCUAAGAUUUCAAUCCGACCAAACAAUACUCAAGCGUAAGUUCGUAACUCACAACCUAAAAAAAUUUCAAAAAGUGUGAAAAAAAGUACUUCAAGACCCAACAUGUCAAUCAAAUGUGUAAGUACAACAAACUUAGUUUCAAACCAACGCAAAAUGUGUUUAAAACGACCUAACAAUCCUUAUGUGUAAUUUCGUAACUCACAAACUAACAAAAAAAUCAAAAUGCGUGAAAAAUGCACUUUGAGACCUAAAAUGGCAACCAAGUAUGCAAGUGAAACAAACUUAGUCUUAAACAAAUCUAAAAAAAUUUCAAACCGUGUUUAAGUAUCACUUGAACUUUCAGAACGACCUAAGAAUGUUUAUUUGUAAGUUCGUCACUCAUAACCUACCAAAAAGUUCAAGAAGUAUGGAAAAAAAAGGAAACACUACACGACCCAAAAUGGCAACCAAGUGCGCAAGUGCAACAAACUUAGUUCUAAACCAACCUAAAAAGUGGUCAAGGCGUGUCUAAGUAUCACUUGGACUUUCAAAACAACCUAACAAAGUUGAAGUGUAAGUUGGUAACCCAUAGCCUACCAAAAAGUUCAAAAAGUGUGAAAAGGGCACUUCAAGACCGAAAAUGGCAACCAAUUGGAUAAGGUCAACAAACUUAGUUUCAAGCCAACCUAAACGAGUUAAAAACGUGUCUAAGUAUCACUUGAACUUUCAAAAUGUCCUAAAACAGCUUACAUGUAGGUUCGUAACUCAUAACCUACGAAAAAAAGUUCAAAUAUUGUGAAAAAAGUUCAAAUAUUGUGAAAAAAGCACUACAAGACCCAAAAUGGCAACCAAGUGUGUAAGUGCAACAAACUUAGUUCAAACCAACCUAAAACGUGCUCAAAACGUGUCUAGGUAUUACUUGAGUUUUCAAAACGACCUAGCAAAUCCUAAUUGUAAGUUUGAAGCUCAUAAUCUACCAAAAAGGUUGAAAAAAGCAUUUCAGGAGACUUCUAAAAGUUGAAGAAAUAGAUGAAUUGAAGUCUCCCAAAAUAAAAGAACCUAGAAAUCAGAAUCAAAUGGGAAGUUUUUGGUUCAUUCAUUAGUCAACCAUCUCUCCAUUGCCUCCCCAAUUGAAACACAUUUAUACUCGACAAUUUGGAAGACAGAAGCCCUAGAAGAGUGAAUAUCACGCUUUGGAGAAUGCGAAAUGGACUAUGAACUGUGCAGAAGUUUUGCAAAUGAAACCUCCCUUUCUCAGUUUAUCUUCUCAUGUUUGUCCCUUGUGUUUGCAUGCUUUAGAAGAUUUACAUCAUAUUUUCUUCUCCUACCUACAUGCAAAGAAGUGUUGGUUUUGGCUUACUUGGCUAUCUUCAUUUGAAUUGGGUUUUCGACUAUAGAUUUAGGAGAACGCGGUCCAGCUUAUUUCAUGUCCCAUUCUCAAGAAGAAACCAAGAUUGAUUUGGUUAAAUGCAGUAAAGGCCAUUUUACCAGAAAUUUGGUUUGAACAUAAUCAACUAACAUUUCAAAAUAAAGCUUUCUCUUGGACAACUCGAGUCGAAAUGGCUAGAAUCAAUGCUUCUACUUGAUGCUCUCUUUCAAAAGACAUCAAAGAUUUCUCCAUACAAGAUAUAAGUCAUAACUGGCUGACUUUCAUUUUUAAUUCUUAGUCCACUAUUGUACUCUUAUUUUAUUUCUUUUGGAUUUCUAGUGGUCUUAAAUCUAUGUUGUAUAGUUAUUGGGCAGUUUGUAUGAUCUAUUCUAAACCAUGUCGUUGGUUUAGUCUUUUGGUUUAAGUCUCGAUAUGGUGAGAACGCUAAGUGGGUGUCAACCUAGAUGAGAUGUCCGAGUGCACUAGUUGAUCCUAGGGCUUCUUUGUAUUAUCUUUUGUCUUGUCUACUCAUUUUCAGCUUAAUGAAGAGGCUCCUUUCCUAUUUCAAAAAAAAAAAAAAAAAAAAGGUAAAUGUGUGAUUCUUAUAAAGUAAAUUAUCCUACAGAUUAAAAGUUUGAACUUAUUCCAAGUGCUUCACCAAAUCUUAAAUAUUUGAACCAACAGCACUAACUUUGCACAACACAACAAUGUAAAACACAUUAACUACUUUCUCUUUUAUGCACAUUAUAUAUCAAAUAAAAACAUUAGAAGGGAAAAAAUGGAAAAAAAACAUACUAACAACGAUAAAAUAUAAUAAGCUUCAAUCGAAGAGAGAAGGUUUGAAGAACAUAAUUCAAAGGUUCCCAAAAUCAUAUCAUAAUUAGAAAGCCAAUACCAACACCAAUUCAAAGAGAACACCUAAUCUACCAUACAAAAGUCUAAAUAUAACUUUUUUUUUAAUCUUGUGUUUUAGUGUAUGAUGCAAGUGAAGCAAAACAACAUUACAAUAUAAGAUCUUUUUACCCUGAUAUUUAAUAAUCAACUAAGAAAAAUUCGCAUUCAAAGUUGACCAAGAAUCCAAGACCUUCAAUAGGCAAAGAUAAUAUUCUCAACAUGGUAAUUGGAUGUGUUCCCUUUAGCAUAGUAUCUUAAAUAAUCACUUUUUGUUAUUUGAGAAAAACUCCAUUUUCUCUUAUUAAUGAAAAAGGACUUGAUAAUAGGUAAGUAUAAUUUAAUAGAUAUUCUAACUAAAGAGAACUAAUUAUAAAAGGAAAUAACGUCUAAAAAGAAUAAUUAAAAAAAUAACUAAGGCAACUAUACAAUACAAAUCUACACUUUGUAAUCACAACUUUCGAUCUUCCUUGUAUGGAGUAACAUUUUAAAGAGGCCGAACUAAGAUAGAUCUAAGCAAAAACUUCAUUGAUGGCCUAAGAAAGAUGGAUGGAAACCUUAUAAUGAUACAGGUAACAAACCUUUUCAAUUGAGGUUUAGAUGCAAAACAUGUAAUAUAGUUCAACAUUAUUUCGCCAAAGUUAGUCAUUAAAAUCAAGUGAAUCAUAAAACAGAAAAAGAAUGUAGAUUUAAGAGGACUACGUAAUAUAUCAACUAGGAAUGAAAUAGGCGAAGAUAAAAGCAAGUAUUAAGAACAAAACAAAGCAUAACAAAAGAGGAAGGCCAGCUUACUAUUCAAAAAAGCAAAGGAGUUCCACAUCACUUGCAAGAUAGCCUGUGGAACAUUGCUAUAGAACUAUGUUGGGAACUUUGGCAGAGUUGUGUUUGGAAAUUACAAUGAUGUUUAGCAAAGAUGUUUACAAUAAUAAAACUGUAACAUAAAUGUUUCAUAGUGUUGGAAGAAAUUAUAGCAAUUCAUUGCAAAUAAGAUGCAGUACCUUGAUUUUAUGGUUAAAGGUUCCAAUUGUUUUUUCUUUUUAAGCUCUUAUUUAGAAGGGAUUCACCUGUUACAAGUUGAAAUGUGAGUUGGAAAAAUUGGACAAGAAGUUAUAACCUUACAAGAAAAUGAUCCUUAUAGAAAGAACUAACUUGAUUCAAGCAAAAUAUCUUCAAGAACAAAAUUGCAAUUACACGAACACUUGUUAACAACAAAUAAACAAAUGAGAAAACAAAUUCUUAUUAGUAAAACAAAUGUAACUAAUAAAAAAUGCAAAUCAGACUAUUGAGUACAAUGAAAUACAACAUAAUAACAAGACAAAGAUGCAACAUAUACAUAAACAUACAAAUCAGAAAAGAAGUUGAUUCUUGACAACAAAGUAAAAUAAAUACAAAGCAUAAUAAAUUUCUAUGACCAUUAGGACUCUGUAGAGAAAUGCCUACUUUCGACAUAAGCAUUUCAUCAAAUUCCAUCUAAAGCGGAGAGGUUGUCCAUGCAAGCUUUGAUACCAAGCAAUCUCGACGCGCAUUUUACUUGACCUAAGCGGCUGGCUUGACUCCCUCUUUUUUUUCUCCCUCCCUCUCUACCGGCUGCCAUGCUGGGUGAAGAACUCUAAGGACCUACUAGGCGAGGGUCGAGUUUUACUUAGGCAAGAAAAGCGGAGAGGAUCCCCACGAAAACUCUGAAACCGAGGGAUCUCGGUGCGCAUUUUACAUGACCUAAGCGGCUGGCUUGACUCCCUCUUUUUUUUCUCUCUCCCUCUCUACCGGCUGCCAUGCUGGGUGAAGAACUCUAAGGACCUACUAGGCGAGGGUCGAGUUUUGCUUAGGCAAGAAAAGUGGAGAGGAUCCCCACGAAAACUCUGAAACCGGGGGAUCUCGGCGCGCAUUUUACUUGACCUAAGCGGCUGGCUUGGCUCCCUCUUUUUUUUCUCGCUCCCUCUCUACAGGAGGGUCCUAUGUUCAAAAGUUUGCUGGUGUGUAUCUUUGUUGGCUCGACAUGUUUUUAAUUUAUGAUUGUUGUUGGUGGAGAGAGCGGAAGAUGCCGGGGACAGUUUGGAGAAGAUCAAGCGGCAGCUGGCCUCUGGGUCUGGUCAGAAUUUGUUGUAGGGUCCCCUUCUAAAGCGAUCUGAAAUAGUAAACUAACGCAUUGCAACUCUUUCUGUCUUUCCUUUUGUUUUGAAUUGAUGGUUACUGCUUAAUUGCGCUGCCUUUAGGAAUUUGGCGAGCAUGGAGGCUGUUUAUUUGAGUCGGAAGCCCACUGCAAAAUCUGUUGUGGAGUUUGUUCGAUCUGUUCAUGAUGAUACAAAUUUGUUAUGAUCAUAUUGCAUUUUGAAGUUUUGGGGUAUUUUUCUUCCAUUUCUUUUCUACUUCCAAUUUCUGCUUACGUUGUAUUCUUUCUUAUGUAUAUUAUUUUCUAAUGAUCUUGUUGUGCAAUGUCUUUCUUUUAAGUCAUUGGCUACUUUGUAAAGAGAAAAACAAAGUGAACUAUGUCAUCGUUCUACUCUUUCUACCUCAUUUUCGUAAAGAAGCAAGAAAACAGCUAACAGGCAGAUCAAUCUACUUAAACAUUCAAUUGGCCAUUUAGUGUUUUGGGAUUUAACAUUCUGCCAUUCUUGUCGUUGCCCUUAAAUCUCCUCACAAUCUCUUUGUUAUUCCAACAAUCCUUAAGAAAAAUCCAUGUAAACCGAACCCCAUAUGUUCCCUUUUCUCCACAUCGGUCAUAAUUUUGUCCACUCUUCAAACAAAAUCCUUUCAACCUUAUUUUUCUUCACUACCCAUUUCCAAAAUUUUCAUUUCCCUUAGAAAAUCUUUGUCGAUGUCGAAACUUGCGGCUGGGAACCGAUAGUUCUCAAUCAUGUCCAGUGCUGUACCUCCCAAUGGACGGCAUGGAUCAAGGGUUAAGGUGUAUUUUUUGUUAUCGUUGGUUAGAAUUCUUGUUCUGUUUUAGGACAUAAAUUCCAACACAAAGAAUGUUUAAGUGUUAGCUUUCUCUAUUCAUAACGUACUCAAAUAUUAGAAAAAAGGACUUACCGACACAAAUUACAUCCAAGUGUCCAGCUGCAACACUAUAGUGCCAAACAAACCUAACUAGUGUCCAAAAUAUGCCUAAGAUUUAAAGACAACCAAACGAUGCUUAACUGUGAGCUUUUCCAAUGCAUAAGCUACCAAAAAGUGAGAAAAAAAGGUCUGAACAACCUAAAAUCGCAACCAAGUGCCAAAUGCAACUACUAUAGUGCCAAAUAAACCUAAGUAGUUUCCAAAAGGUGCAAGCUUUAAAGAAAACCAAAGAAUGCUUAAAUGUGAGCUUUCUAGACUCAUAACCAACUAAAAAGUUAGAAAAAAGAAUUUAACAACCCGGAAUGACAACCAAAUGCCAAGGUACAACAACUAUAGUGCCAAACCAAGGUGCGUAAGCUGUAAAGGAAACAAAAGAAUGCUUAAGUGUUAGCUUUCCCGACUCAUAACCUAACAAAAGUUAGAAAAAAGGACUUAACAACCCGAAAUUGCAACCAAGUGCCAAAGUGCAACAACUAUGGUGCCAAAGAAACCUUAUUAAUGUCCAAAAGGUUCCUAAGGUUUAAAGACAGCAAAAAAAAUGCUUAAGUGUGAGAUUUUCCAAAUCAUAACUUUAAAAAAUGUGAGAAAAAGGACUUAACGACCUGAAGUGGAAAUCAAGUGUCCAAGUGCAACAGCUAUAAUGCCAAACCAACCUAGGUAGUGUCCAAAAGGUGCCUACGUUGUAAAUGCAAUCAAAGAAUGCUUCAGUGUGAACUUUCUCUACUUAUAACCUACCAGAAUGUUAGAAAAAGGACUUAACGACUCGAAUUGCAACCAAGUGCCCAAGUGCAACAAAUAUAGUGCCAAACUAACCUAACUAGUGUCCAAAAGGUGCAUAAGGCUUAAAAUCAACCAAACAAUGCUUAACUGUGAGCUUUUCCAACUCAUAAGCUACGAAAAAAUGAGGAAAAAAUGACUUAACAACCCGAAAUGGCAACCAAGUGCCCAAAUUCAAUAACUAUAGUGUCAAACCAACCUAACUACUAUCCAAACGGUGUUAAGUUGUAAAGGCAACCAUUGAAUGCUUAAGUGUGAGCUUUCUUAACUCAUAAGCUACCAAAAAAUCACAAGAAAGGACUUGAUGAACAAAAAUUUCAACCAAGUGCAUAAGUUAAACAAAUAUGCUGUUAAAACAACCUAAUUAGUGUCUAAAAGGUGACUAAGGUUUAAAGACAACCAAAGAAUGCUUAAGUGUGAGCUUUCCCGACUCAUAACCUACCGAUAAGUCAUAAAAAAUGAUUUAACGACUCGAAAUGGCAAGCAUGGGCCCAAGAGCAACAAAUAAAAUGUCAAACAUACCUAAGUAGUAUCCAAAAGUUGCGUAAGCUAUAAACGCAACCAAAUAAUAUUUAAGUGUGAGCUUUCUCGACUCAUAACAAACAAAAAUGUAAAAAAAAAAGACUUAACGACCCCAAUUGGCAACCAAGUGCCUAAGUGAAACAACUAUAGUGCGAAACAUACCUAAGUAGUGUCCAAAAAGUGCCUAAGCUGUAAAUGCAACCCAAGAACUCGUAAGUGUGAGCUUUGUCGACUCAUAUCCUACCAAAAUAUCUGAAAAAAUAACUUAACGACCCGAAAUGGCAACCAAGUGCGCAUGUGCAAUAAUUAUAGUGCCAAACAAACCUAAGUAGUUUAAAAAACGUGCCUAUUAUAUAAACACAACCAAAGAAUGCUUAAGUGUGAGCUUUCUCAACUCAAAAUCUACCAAAAUGUCAGAAAAAAGGACUUAACGACCCAAAAUGAAAAUAAGUGCACAAAAGCAACAACUAUAGUGCCAGACCAACCCAAGUAGUGUCUAAAAGGUGCCUAAGGUUUAAAGACAAACCAAGAAUGUUUAAUUGUGACCAUUCCUGAUAUGGAUCAAGAAAUCAUGAUUGAAUCAAAUGAAGAAGUUGAGUAGAUGCAAUGCUUGGAAGUUGAAGAGUUAUUUUGGGCAACUCAAAAGUCAUAAAUUUAAAUGUUUAAGAAAUAAUGUUUAUGUGUUUUUAGUUAUUAUGUUAGUUGAAAGGUUAUCAAAUUAAAUGUUUUGACCUUUCAUUUCAUAUUUUAAUUAGUAUAAAUAGGGUUGUAAUUUUUCCACAUUUAAAAGAAGAAUUUGGGAUGAAAGAAAUCUGAAAAAUUCUAGAAUGUAGAAUUUUGUUCUUGUCUGUUGUGAUAGAAUGCACAAACAUUUGAAGCAUUAAAGUGAGAAUUGAUCUACCUUACUUGUGGAGUGUUUUGAAGAUUAAGGAUUGAUGGGAGUUUCUAAUUUUGUUCGAUCCUUGGUUUCUUAGAUCAUCUAAGCAAUUUGUAUGUAGCCUAUCUUAGGGGUUGAAAUCAAAUUGGUUUUGCGGCUAGUGGGGUUGUGUUCUUUGAGUCUUGUUGUUUAACAUGAUUCUUAGAUCCAAUGCCUAGGGGUUUCUUAUCAAUUUCCAACACAUAACCUACCAAAAAGUGACCAAAAAGGACUUAAGGACCUUAAAUGGAAACCAAGUGUGCAAGUGCAUCAACUAUAGUGCCAACCAACCUAUGUAGUGUCCAAGAGGUGCUUAGGCUGUAAAGACUAUCAAACAAUGCUUAAGUGUGAGCUUUCUUAACUCAUAAACUACCAAAAAUUGAAAAACAAAGAAGGAAUUAACGACCAAAAAUGGUAAAUAAGACAAGAACUAUAGUGCUAAACCAACCUAAGUGGUGUGCAAGUUCUGAACCUAAAAGAACCCGACACAUUCUGACCUAACCGAUUUAACUCUCCUACUUUCUACGGGCUAUUGUGGGUUUAGUCGAGAGUGAAGAGUUGUUGAUGAAAGUACUGAUCUCGAGGGAACUAGAUGCAUUUUAACCUAUUCGGCUUAACUCUCCUACUUUCUAUGGUCUAUUAUGGCUUCAACCGAGGGUGAAAAGUUCCCAACACAAGUUCUGAUCUGGAAGGAACCCGACGCAUUUUAACCUAUUUUGCUUAGCUCUCAUACUUUUUAUGGGCUAUUGUGGCUUCAGCUAAGAGGGAAGAGUUCCUAACACAAGUUAUGAUACCAAAGGAACUCGAUGCAUUCUAACCUAACCAGCUUAACUCUAUUACUUUCUACGAGCUAUUAUUGCUUUGACCAUGUGUGAAGAUUUUCCUAUGCAAGUUCUGAUAUCGAAAGAACCAAAUGCAUUCUGACCCAACUGGCUUAACUUUUCUACUUCCAACGGGCUAUUGUUGCUUCGGCCAAUAGUAAAGAGUUCCCUACGAAAAUUUUGAUUUCAAAGGAACUCGAUGCAUUCUGACCUAACCGUCUUAAUUCUCUUACUUUCUAUAGGCUAUUUUUGCUUCCACCAAGAGUUAAGAGUUCCCUACGAAAGUAUUGGUUCCGAUGGAACCCAAUGAAUUAUGAUUUAACCACGUUAACUCUCCUACUUUCUAUAGUAUUGCUUCGGCCAAGAGGGAAGAGUUCCCUAUGCAAAUUCUGAUAUUGAAGGAACCUGACACAUUUUGACCUAACCAGCUUAACUCUCCUACUUUCUACAAGUUAUUGUUGCUUCGGCCAAGAAAGCAUUCCCUACGCAAAUUUUGAUUCUGAAGGAACCCGACGCAUUCCGACCUAACCGGCUUAACUCUCAACCUUUUUAUGGGCUAUUGUUGCUUCGACCAAGAGUUAAGAGUUUCCUAUGCAAGUUCUAAUAUCGAAGGAACCAAAUGCAUUUUGACCUAACUGGCUUAACUCUCCUACUUUCUACAGGCUAUUGUGGCUUUAGCCGAGAGUGAAGAGUUCCAUGAAAUUUCUGGUCAGGAAGGAACCCGAUGCAUUUUAACAUAUUCGGCUUAAAUCUCCUACUUUCUAUGGGCUAUUGUGGCUUCAACUGAGAGUGAAGAGUUCCUGACACAAGUUCUGAUCCCAAAGGAACUCGAUGCAGUCUGACCUAUCCGAGUUAAUUCUCCUACUUCCUACGGGCUAUUGUUGCUUCGACCAUAAGUGAAGAUUUCCCUACGCAAGUUCUUAUAUCGAAAGAUCUAAACGCAUUCUCACCUAACUGGCUUAACUCUUUUACUUCCAAUGGGUUAUUGAAGCUUCAGCCAAGAGUGAAGAGUUCCCUACGAAAAUUUUGAUCCUGAAGGAAAUCAACGCAUUUCUGACCUAAUUAGCUUAACUAUCCGACUUUGUACAGGCUCUUUUUGCUUCAGCCAAGAGUUAAGGGUUCCUUACGCAAGUAUGGAUCCCGAAGGAACCCACCACAUUCUGAUCUAACCGCUUUAACUCUCCUACUUUCUAUAUGAAAUUAUUUCUUUGGCCAGGAGGGAAGAGUUCCCUACGAAAAUUUUGAUACGAAGUGAACCCGACGCAUUCCGACCUAACCGGCUUAACUCCCCGACUUUCUAUGCGUUAUUGUUGCUUUGACUAGGAGUUAAGAGUUUCCUACACAAGUUCUGAUUCUCGAGGAACCCGAUGCAUUCUAACAUAAAUGGCUUAACUCCCAUACUUUCUACGGGCUAUUGUGGCUUCGACCGAGAGUGAAGAGUUGUCGAAGAAGUUAUGAUCCCAAAGAACCCGAUGCAUUUUAACCUAACCGGCUUAAUUCUCCUACUUUCUACGAGCUAUUGUGGCUUCAAUCGAGAGUGAAGAGUUCCCGACACAAGUUCUGAUCCCAAAGAAAGCCGACACAUUCUGACCUAACCAGCUUAACUCUCCUACUUUCUACAGGUUAUUGUUGCUUCGACCAUGAGUGAAGAUUUCCCUGUGCAAGUUCGGAUAUCUAAAGAACCAAACAUGCAUUCUGACCUAACUGGCUUAACUCUUCUACUUUCAACCGGCCAUUGUUGCUUCGACCAAGAGUGAAGAGUUCCCUACGAAAAUUUUGAACCCGAAGGAACUCGACACAUUCUAAACUAAUUGGCUUAAAUCUUCGACUUUCUACGGGCUAUUUUUGCUUCCACCAAGAGUUAAGAGUUCCCUACGCAAGUAUUGAUCCCGAAGGAACCCAUCGCAUUAUGAUCUAAUCGCUUCAACUCACCUUCUUUCUACAGGAAAUUGUUGCUUUCACCAAGAGUGAAGAGUUCCCUACGCAAAUACUAAUACGGAAGGAACCCGACGCAUUUUGACCUGACCAACUUAUCUUUCCUACUUUCUACAAGUUAUUGUGGCUUCGGUCGAGAGUGAAGAGUUUCCUACGAAAGUUUGAUCCUGAAAGAACCCAAUGCAUUAUGACUUAAUAGGCUUACCUCUCCUACUUUCUACCAGCUAUUGUAGCUUCGACCGUGAGUGAAGAGUUCUGAUGCAAGUUUUGAUCCCAAACGAACCCGACGCAUUCUAACCUAACAAGCUUAACUCUCCUACUUUCUACGGGCUAUUGUAGCUUCAGGCAAGAGUGAAAAGUUCUCUACACAAGUUCUCUACUUUCUAUGGGCUUUUUAUUAUAAGUGUAAAGAAAUAGGUGUAUGAAUUGGAUCGAUGAACAUUUUUUUGAAUUUUUUUUAAGCUUAAAAGGAUAUUUAUGGAACUUUCAAUAAUUCAUCAAUAUUUUUUAAACAGAACUUUUCAAUAGUUGAUGAUUAUUUUUUAAACAAAACUUUAGCGACUUUCAUCUAAAACCAAAGACAAUGGUAUUUUUGAACCGUUUUCGAAAGUUUAAGGGCAUCUUUCAACUUUUAAAAGGAGACUUUUUUUGACACAAACCACUAGGGGUAUUCUAACACUGACAACACUAACAACCCAGACUACCCAUCCCAAAUUUCGAGUAUUAUUACAAAAUAUGUUUUUUAACUUAUGGAUAUGUUGAAUUUUGAUAUUAUGAAAUUUUAGUAAUUGAUAUGUGUGGUAAAAAAAUUUAAGUGUUUAAGUUAAUCAAGAAUACACUCCAUUUACAAGGAGUACAAGGAGUCCAAGUAGAUAUUAGUUGUGUUUAAAAAAUUAUGAAAAAAAAGUCCUAUUUUAAAAAAAAGUACAAUCAAGUGAAAUGUUACAUAAACUUCACAACAUAGUUAAUAAGAUAACACAAUAUUACAAGAUUUUGUUUACACGUAUACAUACAUAUACUAGUGGUUAAAGUAAGAUUAGAUUUGAAUGUAUAUUUAAACGAAAGUUAUUGCCAUUCAACUAGAGUAAUAAAAUAACUAAAGAGCUCAAUAAAUUACAACAAAUGUGAUGGUACUUUGACACCAGAAGCUCAACCAUUUGAAGGAAAGUUCCAAACAAUGGAUAAAAGGAAGCAUACUAAAACACAAGUAAAACAAGAGGAUUAUUUUUAUUGUCUUCCAUUAUCUGAGAGUGGAAUGCAAACAAAGCAAUGCAAAAAGCACCAUUCAAGACAUCUGACUGAUUUAUACAAAGUGUAAAUAAGACACCAAUACAAUGUUGAACAUUCUCCAAAACAAGAUGCAACAUACACAUCAUUCAUUUGGCUAUUCAACGGGAAUAUGUCACGUUUUUUGCCAUAAUUAUUCUUGUUUCAUGUUUGCCCACGAUGGCAGGACAAGACUUUCAGGUAAAGCAAAUCCUGGUUUUCCAAUGUCAAAAGGCCUUGGCCGCUUGCAGGUAAUACUUAGUUUUCCAUUUUUAACCUUAAGGUUGCACUUUAUGUUUAAAUUGUCCAUCCGAACAUCUUUUUUUUUCUUUUUCUUCUUUCCUUCGGGUAAUAAAGAAUAGUGACCUUGAAGAAUUAAGAGAAUUGGGGUCCGGCACCUUUGGCACUUUUUACCAUGGAAAAUGGAGGGGACUGAUGUUGCUAUAUAAACGAAUCAAUGAGAGGUGUUUUGCUGGGAAACCUUCUAAACAAGAUCGCAAGGUUGUUCAUUUUAAGCAACUGGCUUUUCUUUUCUUUUGUUAUUCGUGUAUUUUUCUUUUUGUUCCUUGACUCAAGUCCUUUUUGUUGUUUUAUAUUUACCAGUGAGAAGAUUUUUAGAAUGAAGCAAUUAAGUUUGCUGAUUUGCACCACCCAAAUGUGGUACUUUUUAUGGUGUCGUGCUUGAUGGGCCUGGGAGAUCUGUGGCCACAGUAACAGAAUAUAUGGCCAAUGGUUCGCUCAAAAAUGCUUUGUUGAAGAAUGAAAAGUAACAAUUGUUCUCAUUUUUCAUACGUUUAAUUUAAUUUGUUAGAAGUUAGUUGCAGUAUAAUGUAUCUUCACCCUUAGAUUAAGCAUAAAUACAAUUGAUGCAGGAGUCUUGAAAAGUGGAAGCGCCUCUUGAUUGCUAUGGAUGCGGCUUUUAGAAUGGAACACCUGCACAGAAAGAAUAUUGUGCACUUUGAUUUUGAAAGUGAUAAUCUACUGGUCAAUCUUCGAGAUCCUCAUCACUCAAUAUGCAAGGUUUGUGUAUUACUGAUAAUAGCAGAAUCAUCAUUGUAGUGCAUUCCAUUUAGUUAAACUCUUGAUUUGAUUUUUAAACAAAACAGGAUGAUAACCAAUUUUUAUAGUUAUUGUUGUAAUUAACACAAUUAAUUGUCAAAUAAAAAAUGUAUUUGACUAUUAACAUUUUUUUGUUUGACUAAUUAUAGUAUGUUUUAAGAAGAAAAUAAGCUUGGCUUGUCUUAGAUAUACGGGAUAAAGUAAUGUUUUUAACUAACAAAUGCCUUAAACCAGCAAUGGUCUCAAUCUCCUCCCAAGACCUCUCAAAACCCUUACUCUCUAAUCAAAUGUUCCAUUAAAAAAAAAUCUAGUGAGAUAUUUCACAACCUUGAUCACAUAAGACAACAAUCUCUAUUUCAAACCAAACUAACUCUAAAGGGCUCGACAAAAGUUGAAAAUCAAGGUAGCAAACUGCGAUCUCUAAAGGAUACGAUGUGAUCUAAAGGAAUGCUCCUGUGCUAUAAAUGCAUGGGUGCAGUCCAAACACAAAGGAAGAUUGUCCCUAUAUAUAAUAACUUUUUAUAGGAAGCAUUUUUGAAGUGUUAACUCAUCUAUUUCCAACGGGCUAUUCCUACUUCGACCAAGAGUGAAGAGUUCCUUACGAAAAUUCUGAUUCCGAAGGAACUCGACGCAUUUUGACCUAACCGACUUAACUUUUUGAGUUUCUACAUGCUAUUUUUGCUUCCUCCAAGAGUUAAGAGUUUCCUACGCAAGUAUUGAUUCUGAAAGGAACCCGACGCAUUCUUAUCUAACUGGUUUAACUCUUCUACUUUCUAUUGGAAAUUGUUGCUUCAACCAAGAGGGAAGAGUUGCCUACGCAAAUUCUGAUACCGAAGGAACCCGAUGCAUUCUGAUCUAACCAGCUUUACUCUUCUACUUUCUACAUGCUAUUGUUGCUUCAGCCAAGAGUGAAGAUUUCCCUACGCAACUUUUGAUCCUGAACGAACCCGACGCAUUCGGAGGUAGGGAGCUGAUUCCUAAGAAGUUGGUUAGUGUUCUUGUUCUGAUUUUUUUACCUUCAGUUAACUACGUUGUUUCUGAAGAAAUUAAAGUUAUGGGAUGUGAUGCAUGUUGGUAGGGAGCUGAAUCCUUUCUUAGGAACGUUUUGGUGAGCAUGGAGGCUGUUUAUUUGAGUCGGAAGCCCACUGCAAAAUCUGUUUUGGAGUUUGGUCGAUCUGUUCAUGAUGAUACAAAUUUGUUAUGAUCAUAUUGCAUUUUGAAGUUUUGGGGUAUUUUUCUUCCAUUUCUUUUCUACUUCCAAUUUCAUUUUCAAUUUCUGCUUAUUUUUUAUUCUUUCUUAUGUAUAUUAUUUUCUAAUGGUCACAAGUUGUGCAAUGUCUUUCUUUUAAGUCAUUGGCUACUUUGUAAAGAGAAAAACAAAGUUAACUAUAUCAUCAUUCUACUCUUUCUACCCCAUUUCCAUAAAGAAGCAAGAAACCAGCUAACAGGCAGAUUGAACUUGCUUAAAGACUCAAUUGGCCAUUUAGUCUGUCGAGAUUUAACAUUCUGUCAUUGUUGUCGUUGCCCUUAAAUCUCCUCACAAUCUCUUUUUUCUUCCAACAAUCAUUAAGAAAAAUCUGUGUAAACUGAACCCCAUGUCUUCCCUUCUCUUCCCACCGACGAGAAUUUUUCCCACUCUCCACUGCAAAACCCAUUUUGGAGCUUAUUCGAUCAGUUCAUGUUGAUACAAAUUUUUCCGAAUCGUAAUGCAUUUGUAACUUUUGGAGUAUUUUUCUUCCUUCAGUUUGUUUUCUACUUUCACUUUCAAUUUCAAUUUCUGCGUAUUUUUUAUUCUUUUUUAUGUAUAUUGCUUUCUAAUGGUCAUUUGUGGUGCAAAUUCUUUCCUUUAAAUCAUUGGUUAUUUUGUAAAUAGAAAAACAAAGUGAACCAUGUCAUCGUUCUACUCUUUCUAUAACAUUUCCAUAAGGUUUAUUUUGCAGUUAUCGUUGGUUAGAGUUGUUCUGUUUUUUUCUGCUCUGAUUUCAUUGCAUUGUUUUGAAGAAUUUAAAGUUAUGGGUUGUGAUGAUCCUUUCUUAGAAACGGUUUGGCAUUCCUAGAGACUGCUUAUGUGAGUUGGAAUCGCACUGUUAAAUCCAUUUUGGAGCUUGUUCGAUCUUUUCAUGGUGAUACAAAUUGGUUAUGAUCAUAUUGCACUUGGAACUUUUGGGGUAUUUUUCUUCCUUCCAUUUUUUUUUUCUACUUCCAAUUUCAUUUUCAAUUUCUGCAUAUUUUUUAUACUUUCUAUUGUAUAUUGUUUUCUAAUGGUCAUUUGUGGUGCAAUGUCUUUGAUUUAAGUCAAUGGUUAUUUUGUACGUAGAGAAACAAAGUGAACUAUGUCAUCGUUCUACUCUUUCAACAACAUUUCCAUAAAGUAGCAAGAAAACAGCUAAAGAUCAAACUGCCUAAAUGAACUUCUAACAUGUUGAUACAGAAAGUUAAAUGAACGAGAGGGAGAUGGGAAAGGGCAGGCAGUUUUUAGUAAAAGGAAGGGCCUGCAAUACUCCAUGAGAGAUAGGGGAAGCAGAAGGCUCAUGAUCCUUUUCUGGUUUUAAUUGUAGUAUUUUUAAUUUUGUUUAUUUGUGUUUUGGAGUAGGAGGGUUUCUUUGUUUGUUGUUUGUAAUUUCUAUGUAAUUUUCUUUUUAUUGUAACAUUGAGUUUCAAAUAUCAAUAUAAUAGAAACACCACAUCUGUGUUCUAUCAAGGUUGUAUGUUCAAAAGUGAGUAGAUAGUUGAGGAGGUCCUUAUGUUCAAAAGUGAAGUGAAUUCUAGGUGAUACAAUAUAAAAUUUAUCUUAACCCAUCAGCUUAAGCUUUUGGGUGAUUAAAUGGUUUAACAAUAAUAUGAUUUCAAAGUAAAAAUCAAGUGGAGAGGACACAAAGGCUAGUAUUUUAGGUAAAGGUGAACAAAGGUUCUUUAUUCAAUUUAUAAUGCUGGGCUGUAGAACAUAAUUAUGGUUGAAGUUGGAAUCGUACUCUACUUCAUUUGUACAAUGUACUCUACUCCAUUUGUACAAUGUACUCUACUUCAUUUGUACAAUGUAUUAUACUUCAUUUGUACAAUGCAUUCUACUUCUAUUGUACAAUGCAUACUAAUUAAGUUGAGUCAACAUUGUUAAAUAAAAAAAGCUGCUUGAUGUUGGUUGAGUCAACAAUCAAUUCUUUACUGUAACUAAUGUUGAAGUUGUGUUUGUAUUCUGUGAUGAACUAGAUGGAUGGGCGUGGGAUUGACUCAUUAGCAAGAUUUUACCUGUAUUUUGGAUAUACUCAAAAAGAAGAAUUAUCAUUCCCAGCCAAAAAGUUGAAAGCAUUUUGGUUUUCACCUCCCUCCAUUUCUAAUGCUGCUGAUGAUGGUGAUGGAGUCAAUGGACCUCUGCCAAGAGUGUUCAUAUCACAAAUUCUCGUGGAUUAGUUGAGUAAAUAAACUCAAGGUGCGUUUCACCAAAUUCUCGAUAUGCAAAAAUCUGAAUAUAUUUUUUUCCUGAAAUUUGGCUACAACCUGUAUCUUGGUGCUGCAGUAAGUGUAUUGUUUUUUUUUAAACACAAACUACUAGCAUUUUUAUUAUUGAACUGAUGAACAAAAAUUCAGACAAACUAAUCAUUUACCUCAUUUUUCCCUCCUCUCAAAAUACAUCAUGGAAAGAAUAAAACAAACACAAAAUCAAUAACAUGAGGCAAACCACAGUUUGAACCAUGCACAAUGCUCUCUCUUUCUAGACUUUUAAUGCACGGUCAUUCUGUUUUCCGGCACUGGUUGUAAAGCAGUUCUCACUUUCACGCCACCUCCAACAACUUUUGUGUUGAUGUUAUUAUUUUCCAUCUUCUUAUGGUUAAGUUGGAGUUUUUCCUUGAACAACUUCCUCAGCUGCCUUAGGCUAGUAUUAUCAUUCUUCACCACUAACUGAAUGAACUUUGCUUUGUUCUGUUCUUUUUCAGCUUCUUCUUCCUCAGCAUCUGGGUUGUCCAUUAGCAAACUAAUGGUUUGUUCUUCAACGGGAGAUUUGGCUUCUAUUGUUGGCCUAGGGAAUUGGUUUGCCAAUGAUUGAACUGCAUUGUUGUUGGAGGAUGUGAUAGUGAUUUCCACCAAAGCUUCCUCACAUUGAACAAUGGCAUUUGGGAUUUCUGGUUGUGAGUCGAUAGCUUCGACAAUUAUGUCUUUCGGAAGAGUUUCUUCUUCCAUUUUCCAUUGGAUCUUGACAUCAACCAAAUCAUCAGAAACAUUCUCGGGGAACUCCUCCGUGGACUUAUUGAUAAUUGUAUCAUCUUCUUCAGCUUGAACGGAACUUUUCUCCAUUUUUGUUUCCUUCUUGUCUCCUUCAAUGUCAGCAUUUGAUGCUACAUUUCCAGUUGAGGGAUCUGAUCAUUUUCAUCUUGAUCGUCUUUCACUUCCAAAGAUUCUUCAUCACUGCUCAAGGCAUCAUCUCCAUCAACUUCAGUUUCUUCUUCCACAUUUUCAUGGGGAAGAGACAGUUCUUCAGCAGAGUUAUUCACGUGUGUUUUCUUCUUCAACAUCUUCUUCAAUUUUAUGUUCCAAUUCACAGGUAGACUCAUUUUGUUGAGAUUCAAAUCCCAUACCAAAUUCUUCUGCAAUGCUCGAUUUGUGAACUUCAGUAACAUCCAAGUCUUUAGUAGGCAGAGAAGAUUUGUCAGAUUCAUUGAUUUCCUCAGCAGAAAUCUCCACAAAAUCAUCAUCUUUCGAAACUUCAUUUACUUUUUCAUCUUCAGAGAAGCAUUGCACAUCCGAGUUAGCAUGAGGUGCCUCUGUUUUAGAAUCAUCAACGCUCUUUGCACUAAUUACAUUUUCAUCAAAAGAUUUUAACAAAUCAUCAAGAACCAUUUUUGGUUCCUUCUCUGAGAGUGCAGUAAGUGUAUUGUUAGCAAUGUAGUAGGCAUAAGGUAGGAACAGGAUGCAUUUUGUGUUUUAUCCAUCUAAGUUUUUGGUUUAUGCAACAAAACCUUAGCUUGAAUUACAACUUCAUAUCAUUUUUCCUACUGCAUUCAGGACAUAAUCAGAAGAUACACUGAAUGUUCUUGCAUUGGGAAGAAGCAUGCUGCUUUGGCUGGUUCUUUGGGUUCCUUCACAUGGGAAAAGCCUUCACAUUCAGAGUUUGAGCAAUUAGCAAGGCUAUUAUUCUCCCAUGACUCUGAAACUUAUGUUAUUUAGUUCACCAUAUUAUCGUCGAUAAUUAACCAAAUUUCAUUUCUGAAUUGCGAUUUGACCAAGAAUUUGAAAACAAAAAUGCAUAUUGUUUUCUUUUUUAUUCUUUUCUAUUGCGUUUCAUUUUCUAUUGGUCAUUUGUUGUGCAAUGUUUUCUUCUUAAGUCAUUGGUUACUUUGUAAAGAGAAAAACAAAGUGAUUUAUUUCAUCGUUCUACUCUUUCUACAACAUUUCCGUACAAAAACAAGAACACUGCUAACAGGUAGAUCAAACUUUGCUAAAAUUCGUUUCCCUUCUUGGAAGAUAUUCGUCCAUGCCUAAACCUGCAGCUGGAAACUGAUUGUUCUCGAUCAUGUCCAGUGCUGAACCCCCAAAUGGAUUGGAAGGAUCAAGGGUGAAGGUUUAUUUUCUUCUUAUCGAUGGUUAGAGUUUUUCUUUCGUUUUGUUCUGCUUUGAGUCAAUUCCAUUGUUUUUUAAGAAUUUAAAGUUAUGGGUGUGAUGAUCCUUUGUUAGGAACGUUUUGGCAAGACUGGAGACUGCUUAUCUGAGUCGGAAUCCCACUGCAAAAUCAUUUUGGAGCUUAUUCGAUCAGUUCAUGUUGAUACAAAUUUCUCUUGAUCGUAAUGCAUUUGGAACUUUUGGAGUAUUUUUCUUCCUUCCAUUUAUUUUCAACUUUCAAUUUCAUUUUCAAUUUCUGCGUAUUUUUUAUUCUUUCUUAUGUAUAUUGUUUUCUAAUGGUCAUUUGUGGUGCAAAUUCUUUCCUUUUAAGUCAAUGGUUAUUUUGUAAAUAGAAAAACAAAGUGAACCAUGUCAUCGUUCUACUCUUUCUACAACAUUUCCAUAAAGAAGCAAGAAAACAAUAGUCUUUUGUGAUUUAACAUUCUGCCAUUCGUGACGAUACCCUUAAAUCUCCUCACAAUCUCUUUGUUCUUCCAACAAUCGUUAAGAAAAAUCCCUAGAAAUCGAACUCCAUGUCUUCCCUUUUCUCCCAACCGGCCAUAAUUUUUCUCACUCUCCAAACAAAAUCGUUUCAACCUUAUUCUACUUCACUACCCAUUUCCAAAAUUUUCAUUUCCCUCGGAAAUUCUUUGUCGAUGUUGAAACCUGCAGCUGGGAAUCGAUUGUUCUCGAUCUUGUCGAGUGCCGGUUCUAAUGGAUUGCAAGGAUCAAGGGUUAAGGUUUAUUUUUUAGUUGUUGUUGUUUAGAGUUGUUGUUCUGUUUUUUUCUGCUCUAAUUUCAUUGCAUUGUUUUUGAAGAAUUUAAAAGAUAUGGGUUGUGAUAAUCGUUGAUAGGGAGCUGAAUCCUUUGUUAGGAAUGUUUUAGUGAGCAUGGAGGCAGUUUAUCUGAGUGGGAAUCCCACUGCCCAUCUUUUUUGGGGCUUGUUCGUUCGGUUCAUAAUGAUACAAAGAACUUUUUGGGUAUUUUUCUUCCUUCCAUUUUUUUUCUACUUCCAAUUUCAUUUUCAAUUUCUUGAUUGAGCAUUCAAUUUCAGGAAAUGCACUGUAUACUGUCAAAAGCAAAUUUCAGUUGGCAAGUGGUUUGGAAUAUCAGAAAAAAGUAAUUGUAUAGUUUAUAAGGUAAUUUUGAGGUGAUUUAAGAAAAAUUGGUUGUUCGGCAAUCAAUUUUUCUACACUACCUUGACUCUACCUUAAUAGAGGACAUGUGUGUCUUCUAGUUUCACAUUAGUUGGGUCUUUCUUUUCUAUUGCAUAUUAUUUUAUGUUGGUGAUUCGUUGUGGAAUGUGUUUGUUUUAAGUCAUUGGUUACUUUGUAAAGAGAAAUACAAAGUGAAUUAUUUCAUCGUGUACUCUUUCUACAACAUUUCUGUAAAUAAGCAAGAAAACUGCAAACAGGGAGGUGAAACUUUCUUUAAAAUUCAAUUGGCCAUUUCUUCAUUUUUGAUUUAAUAUUUGUGUCAUGACCCUUAAAUCUCCUCACAAUCUCUUUGUUCUUCCAACAAUCAUUAAGAAAAAUCCCUCGAAUCUGAACCCCAUGUCUUUUCUUUUCUCCUCACCAGCUAGAAUUUUGCCCACUCUCCAAACAAAAUCUUUUCAACCUUAUUUUUCUUUACUACCCAUUUCCAAAAAUUUGAUUUCCCUCCUCGAAAAAUCUUCGUCCAUGCAGAAACCUGCGACUGGGAGCUGAUUGUUCUCAAUCAAGUCCAGUGCUGAACCCCCAAAUGGAUUGCAAGGAUCAAAGGUUAAGGUUUAUUUUUUUGUUAUCGUUGGUUAGAGUUUUUGUCUUUUUUUUUCUGCUUUGAGUUAAUUCCAUUGUUUUUGAAGAAUUUAAAGUUGUGGGUUGUGCUGAUUCUUUCUUAGGAACGUUUUGGAAAACCUGGAGACUGCAAAUCUGAGACGGAAUUCUACUCAAAAUCCGUUUUGGAGCUUGUUCUAUCUGUUCAUGGUGAAUCAAGUCCGUUUUAUUCUGCUUGCAUUUCAUUUUGAAUUUUUGCAUAUUUUUUGUUCUUUUCAAUGUAUAUUGUUUUCUAAUGGGCAUUUAGUGUGCAAUGUCUUUCUUUUAAGUCAUUGGUUACUUUGUAAAGAGGAAAAAAAUUGAACUAUGUCCUCGUUCUACUCUUUCUACAUCAGUUCCAUAAAGAAGCAAGAAAACUGCUAAAAUAGGCUGAUCAAACUUCCCUAAACAUUGAAUUGGCCAUUUAGUCUUUUGGUAUUUAACAUUUUUCCAUUCUUUUUGUUUCCCUUAAAUCUCUUCAUAAUCUUUUUGUUCUUCCAACAAUCAUUAAGAAAAAUCCCUGUAAGUCGAACCCCAUGUGUUCCCUUUUCUCCUCACCGGCCAGAAUUUUGCCCACUCUACAAACAAAAUCAUUUCAACCUUAUUUUUCUUCACUACCCACUUCCAAAAUUUUCAUUUCCCUAUGAAAAUAUUUUUCGAUGCCGAAACUUGCGGUUGGGAACCGAUUAUUCUCUAUCAUGUUCAAUGUUGAACCUCCCAAUGGAUGGCAAGGAUCAAGAGUUAAGGUUGAUCUUUUUGUGAUUGUUGGUUAGAGUUCUUGUUCUGUUUUUCUGUCUUGAUUUAAUUUCGUUGUUUUUGAAGAAUUUAAAGUUAUGGGUUGUGAUGAUCGUUUGUGCGUGUGCGAACAUGUUGAUAUUUUUUAGUGAUGAGAUUCUUCCAAUUUUAAAAUAAUAAUUUCGUUAUCCUGAUGUUUAAGCCAUUAAUGUUAUUUUGAGAUAAAAAUAGCGAACAAGUUGAUAUUGUUUAAGCCAUUAUGUUGAGAUUCUUAAAUUCUGAAAAAUAAUAAUUUUGUUAUUUUGAAAUUCAAAUUCAAUUGGGUUAUUUUAAAAUUAGUAAGAUUGAAUAAAGUUAUUAAAAUAUUGAAUCAAUUAGUUGAGUCCCAAGAUAUUAAAAAAAAGUUGCAAUAUGGAUUGAUGUAUAUUUUUCAAGUAAAAAUUAAUUAAAAGCUAAUAAAUGACAUAAAUUAAUUACAACGUAGAAACUAAAUAAUUACAGUUGGAGAAGGUGGAUAUUUUGUAAAAUACCAUGCACGUGCAAAAAAUGUUAUUUGCUAAAAUUCAAAAGAAAAAAUAGUUUUUCCAUUUUUUAAAAUAACCUAAGAAAAGUUGUUAUAUCUCUUAGGACAAAGAGUGUGGAUCUACAGGUCCAUAUUCGACUUAUUUUUUGUUGGUAAAAUUGCAUAAAACCGCAUUAUAUUGAAAUAAUGACACUCUUAAACCAAUAUUAAUAGAAAUUAUAAUUUAAUUAAUGUUUUUAAGUCAAAUGAACAUGAUUUUUACUCCUAAACAUAAUUAUUGUAAUUGUUUUUUAAUCUUAAUUCAUUUACACAUCUUUGUGCAUAUGUGUGCGUGCGCGUGUGCGUGUGGGUGAGUGUGCGUGUACGCUAGCGUGUGCAUGUGUAUGCGCAUGUGUUUGUGUGUGUGUUUGUGUGUGUGUUUGUGCGUGUGUCCGUGUGUGCGCAUGUGCACGUGUGUGUGUGUCUGUGUGUGCUCGUGUGCGCGUGUGCUUGUAUACGAACAAGUUGAUAUUUCUUAAUGUUGAGUUUCUUUCAAUUUUAAAAUAAUAAUUUAAUUAUUUUGAUAUUCAAGUCAUUAAUAUUAUUUUGAGAUAAAGAUAGUGAACAAGUUGAUAUAUUUUAAUUUUGAAAUUCAAUAACAUAAUUGAGAUUAUGAAAUUCUGAAAAAAUAAUAAUUUUGUUAUUUUGAAAUUCAAUUUGGCUAUUUUGAAAUUCAAAUUCCAUUAUAUUAUUUUAAAAUUCAAAUUCAACAUGCGUGCGUUCGUGCGUUUGUCCAUGUGUGUGUGUGCGGGUGUGUGUGAGUGUGCGUGCGUGUGUGCGUUCCUACAUGUGGGUGUGUGUUCGUGUGUGCGAACAAGUUGAUAUUUUUUAAUGUUGAGAUUCUCUCAAUUUUAAAAUAAUAAUUUAGUUUUCUUGAUAUUCAAGCCAUUAAUAUUAUUUUGAGAUAAAGAUAUCGAACAAGUUGAUAUUUUUUAAUUUUAAAAUUCAAUUAAGGUUAUUUUAAUACAAAAUCUAUCGUUGAGAUUCUCAAAUACUAUUAAAUUAUAAUUUUGUUAUUUUGAAAUUCAAAUUCAAUUUGGUUAUUUUGAAGUUAGUAAGAUUGAAUAAAAUUAUUAAAAUGUUGAUUCCCAAAUUAUAUAAAUUUGGUUACACUAGAAGAAAUUUGCCAUUCAAUAUCGGUUUAAAAUCGACAUUAAUGAUCUUUGGUGUCAGUUCGGAACUGACAUCUAUGCUAGCGUUAUUAAAGGCCUUUAAUGUCGUUUUUGCUUUGAUGUCGGUUUAAAAACGAUAUCAAAUGCAUCAGUAAUGUCGGUAUGGUCAUUGAUGUUGGUUUAAAACCGACAUUUUUUAUGGUGCUAUUGUUGACCUUUAGUGUCGGUUUGCCUUUGUUAUCGUUUUUAAACCGACAUUAAAGUCUUGUUUUUGGAUCUAUUUUUACAAAAAAAAUAUAUAAUUAUUGCAUUAUUGUUCAUUUUUUAUAAACUGACAUUAGAUACGUGUAAAUAAAUAUUUUUUUCUCACACCAACAAAUCAAUAAAAUUAAUAUUAUUUUAGGAACUACAAUAUUUUUCUUUUACAUUUGUAUAUAGAAAAUGAAAUCUUAAUAUUGCGUUUGUAUAUACAUUCUAUAAUAAUACAUGAAACUAGAUCCUAAUACAAGACUUAAAUAAGAAAUCUUAAACGCUUUCACAAUCUUCAACUUCAACAAUUGCUUCCAUCUACUUAGCUUAGCUUGGCUGGCUAUCUAAGACCAAAAUAUACUUUACAACCUGGGGAAGAAUAAAUCUAGAAUUUGCAAAAUUAGUACAUAUUAUUUAAAAUCAAACUAAACAGACUGCAAUGUAAAUGUGGAAAAUUAAAAAUUACCACAAAGUUUCAGUAGAGUAAAUAAUGUAGCAGCAACAAAGAAGACAAUUGAAAUGGCAACCCAAAAGUGCUGCAAAAAUAAAGAAGAAAAUAAGCUUUGAUCAAACAACUCAUUAAGAAGAAGAAAAUAACCUAAUUUGGUUCUUCAAAGAUCUAUAAGAAAAAGAGGAAUACAACUAAAGAAUAAUUAUACCUUCCUCGACUCUUACUUCAAAGCAAAUUUUGAAUGUUCAAUUUAGCAAUGCUAGUCUAUAGGCUUCUUACUCUUAAUUGUAUAAAUUUACCCAUCAAUAGCAAGAUUGUUUUUAUAGAUAAAGUUAAACAAUGGAGAUGAUAAAUAAUCUUACAAACUCCUAUUGGAUCGUUUUUCUUUUCAAAUGAAAAUAGUUAAUUUAUUUCAUUUAUGGAAGGUGAAAAUCUCAAAUAUAUAGUAAAAGAACAUGGAAUAUAAGGAAGCCCAUAAAAAGAAGAGACUCCACUAGCUAGGUAUUGAUCAAAGAUAAAUAUAUGGAUAAAUAGAUGCAACCUACAAAUAUAUCAAAACAGACUAAUACUCAAACUAAACUAAAGAAAACAAAAACAUUUACUACUAAAAGAUAAAAUAAAACACAAUUCAAAACAAUUAAUUACCAAGAUUGAUCUCAAUCGAAAACCAAAACGCAUCACAUUAUGAAGAUAUUGUGCUUCACAUAACACUCCAAAUAGCUAUACCAAAAUUACUUACUCUACAUUUUCCAUUUUGGCAAAUCCACCCACAAGAAUGCUAGUUACCAAGCUCAUUUCUAUGCCUUCUCUUCUUUCAUUUUGCUAACAAAAGAUAGUAUGAAUAAGGCUGCACAUUUGAAAAAAUAAAGACAAUUAAUAAUCAAUAAUGCUACCUAGCAGUCACAAGUUAACAAUCAAAUGAAGAAACCCAAGGAUUUUUGCGGCGGAAGCACGAUGAAGAUUGGUUGCCGUUCGCGAUCUAGGGUCACAGAUUGAGAAGAGAAGAAAAUUAGAAACCAACUUAGAGAGAAAGAAAAGAAAAAUUGAUAGGGAAAGAGUAGAGUAAGAAAGAGAGGAAAAAUUUAGUUUUUAAAACCUAACAAUUUUUUAAAAAGAAAUUAAAAAUAGGGGGUCAUUAAUGUCAGUUUUUACAAAAUACAAAAAAUUAAAAAAAAAUAAAACUGGCUGAUCAUUAAUGUCGAUUUAAAAACGACAUUAAACCCUUAUCAUUAAUGUCGGUUUGAUCCACCUUUUCAAAAACGACAAUAAAGACAAUUUUUCAUUUUUUUCACCUGACACUACAACCCAGAUUUGUUGUAGUGUUAUUAUGGGUUGAUGUAUCUUUUUCAGAUAAAAAAUGGUAUUUGCUAAAAUUCAAAAGAAAAAGUUGUUUUGUCAUUUUUUAAAAUGACCUAUAAAAACGUUAUUAUAUCUCUUAUGACAAAGAGUGUGGAUUUACUAGUCCAUAUUUGACUUGUUUUUUGUUGGUAAAAUUGGAUAAAAUCGCAUUAUAUUGAUAUAAUUACACUAAUGACACUCUUAAAUCAAUAUUAAUAGAAAUUAUAAUUUAAUUAAUGUUAUUAAGUUAAAUGAAUAUAGUUUAAAAGUCAUUCUAAACACAAUUAAUGUAAUUGUUUUUUAAAUUUAAUUCAUUUUCACAUCUUUGUGCAUAUGUACGUGUGUGCGUGUGUGUGUGCAUAUGUGCGAGUGCGCGUUUGCCCGUGUGGAUUGAUGUGCGUGUGUAUGUGCGUGUGCGUGUGUGCAUGUGUGCAUGUGUGUGUAGAUGUGUGUGUGCAUGUGUGAAUGUGUGCGUGCGUUCAUGCGUGUGUUCGUGUGUGUGCAUGUGCAUGUGCUUGUGUGUGUGUGCGUAUGCUUGUGUGUGCGUGUGAGAGUGUGCGUGUGCCCAUGUGGGUGUGUGGGUGUGCGUGUCUGUGACUGCACAUGUGCCCGUGUGGGUGGAUGUGCGUGUGCGCGUGCGUGCAUGUGUGUGUGGAUGUGUGCAAAUGUGCAUGUGUCCGUGUGGGUGGGUGUGCGUGUGUGUGUGCAAGUGUGUGUGUGUGUGUGUGCACGUGCGUUCAUGCGUGUGUUCAUGUGCGUGCAUGCGCAUGUGCCCGUGUAGGUGGGUGUGGGUGUGUGUGAGUGUGCAUGUGCCCGUAUGGGUGGAGGUGCGUUCAUGCGUGUGUUCGUGUGUGUGCAUGCGCAUGUGCGCAUGUAUGUGGGUGUAUACGUAUGCGUGUGCGCGUGCAUGUGCUUGUGUGUGCGUGUGUCUGUGUGGGUGUAUGUGUGCUCGUGUGUGUGAGUGCGUAUGUGUCUGUGUGGGUGAGUGUGCAUGUGCGCGUGCGUGCAUGUGUGUGGGUGUGUGGGUGUGUGUGUGUGCAUGUGUGCAAGUGCGCAUAUGUUUGUGUGGGUGGGUGUGCGUAUGUUCGUACAUGUGUGUGUGUGUGUGCGCGCGUGCGUGUCUGGAUGUGUGCGUGCGUUCAUGCAUGUGUUCGUGUGCGUGCAUGCGCAUGGGCGUGUGUGUGUGUGGGUGUAUGCAUGUGCGUGUGCGAGUGCACGUGUGCCAAUGUGGGUGGGUGUACGUGUGCUUGUGUGUGUAUGAGUGCACAUACGCCCGUGUGGGUGCGCGUGCGUGUGUGCCCGUGUGGGUGAGUGUGCGUGUGCGAGUGCAUGUGUGUGCACGUAUGUGUGCGUGCGUAUGUGUUCGUGUGUGUGCAUGUGUAUGUACGUGCGAGUGUGUGCAUGCGCAUUUGUGCGUGUGCGUGUGCUUGUACGCGCAUGUGCGAGUGCGCGUGUGCCCGUGUAGGUGGGUGUGCGUGUGUGUGAGUGCGCAUGUGCCCGUAUGGGUGGACGUGCGUGUUUGCGUGCAUGUGUAUGUGGAUGUGUGCAUGCGUUCAUGCGUGUGUUCGUGUGUGGGUGUGUGCGUGUGCGUGUGCGAGUGCGUGUGUACCCGUGUGGGUGGGUGUGCGUGUGUGAGUGCGCAGUGUGAGUGUGCACAUGUGUGUGUGUUUGUGUAUGCGUGUGCAUAUGUGUGUGUACACUGCCUUCACAUGGAUGUCAAAGAAGCAACCCAUUGUUACUCUCUCUACGUGUGAAGCAUAAUAUGUGGUUGCUACCUCAUGUGUUUGUCAUGUAACUUGGUUGAGAAAUCUAUUAAAGGACUUAUGAUAUUGCCAAAAGAAGAGCCAACCAGAAGUUUUCAUAGAUAACAAAUCAACAAUUGCUUUGGCCAAAAACUAGUUUUCCACAACCAGAAUAAAGCACAUUGAUACACAUUAUUAUUAUAUUAGAGAGUGCAUCAGAAGAAAGGAAGUAUAGUUAGAGUGCGUGAAGACUCGUGAUCCGGUAGCCAACAUUUUCACUAAGCCUCUUAAAAAAGAAGAAUUCACAAAAUUGAGAGACCUGCUUGGAGUAACAAAAUCAAGUUUAAGAGAGGAUGUUGAAAUAUAAACUUGAUUUUGGGUUUAACAAUAUUUAGGCAUAGCCCAAAUAAAAGCCAAAUUUCUAUAAAGUAUUAAUUACUACAAUAUUCUAGAUAAAUCAAUUGUAGGAGAUAUUUAGAGAAGAUUGAAGAUACAUUUAGAAAAUAUAAGAAAUGAGUGUAAUUGUAAAGAAUAUUCUAGAGAGUCAUUUGUAACCGUUAAAUAAAGAAUGUGUUGGCAAAAUCCUAGCCAUUCAUUUAGGAGUGACAACUAGGAUAAAUAAGAGGGAUGUCCUACGACUUGUAUUAAGUCAAAAAAAUAGAAGUGUCUAAUAACACAAGUAGCCUCUUAUCUCAAUUCUCUCUUCCAAAUUUCCUCCAACCUCCAAAAAUCCUUUCCAACAGUGUAUCAUUGUAUGAGUUAGUAGUAGUAGAAAGAGGAGGGCGAUAUUUGUUGGCUUCAUCCCGUCUUUUAGGCUUAUAGAAGGUAGUUUGGGAGGGGUGUCAACUAAAGUUGAUGCCAAAUCUUUGUUUUUGGAGGCAUAAAAAAAUGAUGAAAUUGUUAAGCAACUCUUAGAAAACAAUACAAUUUGACAUUUUAUAGUUGAGGAAUUGAUCUGAAGAUUGAUAAGCUUAUUUGCUUGGACUAAAAAAGUUCGUUUAAUUUUUAAAAAAAAUGAAAAUGGCUACAAUUAGGUUUUUCUCCCAGCGUUACUAAAGUUUGAUUGAAAUGCCUUUAGAUUUAAAUUUCUAAAUGGUUUGUUGAAUUAGUGUUCAAUUAUCUCAUAGGUUAACUUUCGCUCUUACUAUUGAUGCGUGACUACAAUUGGUAUAUGUGUGAAAGUGAAACUUAAACCUUUCCUUCACUAGAAGAAAUAUGGGCUUUAGUGUCAGGUGAAAAAAAUGAAAAUCUGGCUUUAAUGUCAUUUCUUAAAAGACGGAUCAUUAAAGUCGGUUUUAAAUCGACAUUAAUAAUAUUUCCAUUUUUAAUUUUUAAAUUUUUUUAUUAUUAUGUGAAAACUGACAUUAAAGACCCUUCCCCUUUUUAAUUUCUUUUUAAAUUUUUUUAAGUUGUAAAAAUUAAAUUUCCCUCUCUCUCUUACUUUACCCAUUCCUAUCAAAAUUUUCUCUCUUGAUUUCGAAUUUCCUUCUCCCUUCUCUUCUCAUUCUAUGACUUAAAACUCAUCGUCGUCUUUGUGCCCAUAAUUCAUCCCAAUCGUCGUCGUGGCUAAAAAUCUUCCUUCAAGUCUUUCCCAGUUGCCAUCGUGCUUCGGCUAUCGAGAAACGCCUCUAUUGUGCUCAAUCAUCUUCGACCAUUCGCAGUCGCCCAUAACUCUUCCUUCAAGUCUUUCCCAGUCACAGUCGUCGUCGUGCUUCCACCGCAAGAGUCCCUCGUGUCCAAUCAUCUUCGAAUCCACCACCAUAGCCACCACCGUGCCCAACCAUUGCAACCAUCGCGUGCCCAGCCGUCAUCUUUGGCUAGCACAGGGCAGACCAAGACAGAGGGCAACUCAACCCGUGAAUACCAAUCUGGUAUUACUUCAUCAGACAUUGGACGAAAGGGAGUGGACUACAGAGGCCCUUUCGAGCCUUCUUCUGGAGGUUCAAAGAAUUUUCAUACGCUUUUUUUUUAGGCAUCAAAAUAGAUCAUUGAAUCAAUCUUUAGUAGGUUCUAAUUUCUGUUGUCUGCUUUUUGUUAUUAACAUAUUGGUAUGUGGAUUUAGUUGGUAAGAAAAUGUAAUGGUAAAUAGAGAGUUGAUUUGGAAGAUAUGAAGAGGAAGUGGGCAGUGGGUUAAUGGAGAUUGGGGUUUAAAGGUAAAGAAGGAAAGUACCAAAGAGAGUGAAGAAAUGAAAUAGUGAAUGAUAAAUAUAAAAGGUAACUACAAAUAAGAGAAAGGGAGAGAUUUAGUUUAGCAUUGUUUGGAAAUUGGAAUGUAAUAUUCGCUUCUCAAUUUUCCUCAAUUUAAUUUAGGAUUAACUUUUGAGACAUUUUUCACUGACUUCGUGUUAUUAACAUAUUGGUAUCUGGAUUAGUUUGGUAAGAAAAUGUAAUGGUAAAUAGAGAGUGUUGAUUUGGAACUUAUGGAGAUGUAGUGAGAAGUGUGUUAAUGGAGAUUGGGGUUAAUAGGGUGAAGACUAGAUUUAUAUUAAUUGUUCGACUAUGCUUCUUCUUUAAUGCUAUAUGUAAGAAGACAGUUGGUUUAUCACAAUUAAAAGGAAUGCAAGAAGAUGUUGUUGUCACUCUAUGCCUAUUAGAGAAGUAUGUUCCACCAUCAUUUUUUACCAUUAAUGGUACACCUUGUUGUGCAUCUCAUAAGAGAAAUUGAGUUAUGUGGACCUGUUCAUCUAAGGUGGAUGUAUCCUUUUGAACGAUACAUGAAAGUUUUGAAAAAUUAUGUGUGAAACAGAAAUCGACCAGAAGGAUGUAUGGUAGAAAAUUAUAUUGUUGAAGAGGCUAUAGAGUUCUGUUCAAAAUUUAUGGUGGGUGCUAGCACUAUUGGACUAAACUCAUCUGUAAUAAAAGCAGAUUCAAACGUGGAUAGAUCAUUAUCAGCUUCUUCUUUUAUCAGACCAAUUAAGGAGCAGUUAGAUCAAGCUCAUCUUUACGUUAUUCAAAAUGUAAACGAAGUUCUACCAUACAUUGAGUACAUUCUAAAUCCUAUCUAUUCUCAUUUUACAUAAGUUGGUUAUGUAAUUACCUAAUAAUUUUGUUAUUUCUGACAGAAAAAAUAUGGAGAGUUUGUGUAAGCUUAACUCUGGUAAAUAUAGAAGUAAAAAAUGGAUUCAAGAAGAGCAUAAUCGAACAUUCAGUCGGUGCUUGUCCACACGGGUAAUUACUAGAACCAUACACUUCCAUGUUUAUUUUAGAUCUAAACUAAUCAGAUCCAAUAUAUUUUGUAGGUUGCCCUCGCUCUCGAAGUUCCUAAAAAUUCCAUCAUGCCUUCCUUAAGAUGGAUAGCUCAUGGACCUUCUCCACAUGUGGCUACAUAUUCUAAUUACAUGAUCAAUGGUUAUUACUACCACACAAAAAGACGUCGAUGAUAUUAGGAGAGUUCAAAAUAGUGGAGUUAGUAUAACAACCACUACAAUGCAAGUGUCUAGUUCUAAAGACAAAAACCCAGUCAUAUCAGAUAUGACAUUUUUAUGGCAUAAUACAAGAGAUAUGGGAGAUUGAUUACCAUCAAUUAUCCUUUGUUUUAUUUAAGUGUGAUUGGGUUGAUAAUAGAAGUGGAGUCAAAGUGGACGAGCUUGAGUUUACCAUUGUGGAUCUCAAACGUAUUGGACAUAAAUCAGACCCAUUUGUUUUAGCCUCCCAAGCAAAACACAUAUUCUAUGUGAAAGAUUCUGCAAAUCCUAAAUGGUCAGUGGUUUUAACAUCUCCACGUAGAACUAUUGAAGAAGAUUUCUUUGAAGAUGAAAUAGGAGAUAUGCUACUAGAGUGUGGUUAUGGAGUUGUUCAAAAGAUGCCCAAUGUUGAUACACCUCACGAGAUUGAUGAUACAACUUCAUCAUAUAUUAGACAUGAUUGUGAGGGUAGAUGGGUUGAUAAGUAAUAAUUGUAUAAAUGUUUUAUUAAGGUAUGCCAUUUACUUUUCUUUAUAAUAGAUUUAUGUCCAGAGAUUGUAAUUACUAAGCUUAUUUUAUGUCCUUACUUUGCUCACUAACGUGCUUACUAAUACAUAUAUGUUUUUUUUGCAGAUUCAUAGAUUGAGGAGUCACAUACUUAAGUGAGGAUGAAAGAAAAAUGAUUCCCAAAGCAAGAAACAAAUCAUUUGUGCCAUUUGGCCCAACGACUACGCCAGAGUUAGCAUGUAAGAAAUUCUGGGCAACGGUUGCCCGUUCAGUUUAAUGAACAUGGGCAACUUGUAAGAGCUAUAUCUAAGAAAAUUCAAAGUUACAUGUGUGUGUGUGUUCGACAGCAAAUUCCUAUCACAUACAAAUCUUGGAAAACAAGUUUCGAAUGAGUUGAAAGAUAAAAUCUACGAUUGUAUAUCGGUAUGAAUUCUAUAAUUACGUUUUUCUUACAAUGUAGUUUGAUUUCCCUAAGUCUAAAUACUUUUUUCUUUUUUCUUGUGUAGAUGUCGUUUGAGUUACAUCCCAAUGUUAGACAUUCUAUCCUAAUGUCUGCAUCAAGAAAGUAUCGAACUUUCAAAACUACGUUAACUCUUCUGUAUAUACUUCCGUUUAAGGAUCAACCAUCAUGUUUGUAGUUUCCUCCUAAGAUCUAUUCUCAUAUUAAUCAAGAAGAUUGGAAAUCCUUUGUGGACGCUAGACUAACUGAAGAAUGUGAGGUAAAUAAAUUUAAUUACAUGUUAACUUUAAUGUUGGUUUGGUAUGUAACUACAAACUAAUUUUUUGUAUAGGAUUAUAGUCGUAUUCAAAGGGAAAGAAGAUCAAAAUGCAUAUACAAUCAUCACAUUGCUAGUAAGGGAUAUGAAAAUCCUGUCGAAGAAUUAGUAAGUAUUUCUAAUUGAAUGAAAUAAUUUAUCUUAAUAUGUUUAUCCUAAUUAAAUAUAUAUCUUUGGUUGUAUAAUAUAACGUGUGAUCUUUCCUAUCGUUCAACACUUUGGAAAGAAGCAAGAAAAGGAAAAAACAAUGAUUAUUUUGAUGAUGCUACUCGAGAUUGUGUCUCUCGAAUCGUAAGUUUGCUUGCGAUUUACUUAUAUACAAUAUUUAAUCUUUUGUUAACUUAGUUAAUGAUGAAUACUUGUGUUGUUCUAUAGGAUGCAUUAGCUGAAAACACAUAGAGAUGAGGACAUAUUGACUGAAUCAUUGCGGCUCUAAGGAGCAUGGUGGACGUGUACGUGGCAUGGGUGGUUUUGUCUCUCAAUCACUAUAUUUCAAGACAGUGAAAGGGAAAGAGAAAAUUGCAAGUUCUCAAGUUGUAGAAGAUGACUCAAAAAAGCAAAAGUUACAAAAAGGGUCAUAAUCACUUGAGAAUCGUCCAUCAGAAGUGUUAACAUAGAUCUCUAUGCCGAUGAGGAUUUGGGCAACACACCUAUGAACGAAGAAGUGAAGGUAAUUAACUUUGUUGUCACUUUUAAAAUUUUAAUGUUUAUAGGAUAAAUUGUUCUUAAUGAUGCUUUUAAUACUUGUAAAGUAAACACCGUGCAAAUUGGCUAUAAGAACGAUUAAUAAUAUUGUUGCAAUAGCAACCGUACUUGAUGAUAGCAAUGGUGGUCCCAAUGUUAAAAUCUUGGUGGACUUGCUCACAGGAGGAGAUUGUAGUUUACCUAUUCCAGUGAAGGGCAAGAUAUAGACUUUAAAUCAAGCAUUAGGUAAUAUUGUUGAAUGACCUCGUUGACUUGUUUAUGUGCUAUUGAAGCUUUGAUAUUUAUUUGUGAUUGUAUUUUAGGUUUUGAUAUUAUUUUGUUUGUGCUUGGAGCAUUCAACCCCAAAGGAUGUUCUGUAUUCUUCAAAUUACAUAAAUGUUAAUGGAACCAUUAAGCUCUUAUAUGGACAUGUCGUGAACAAUAUGAAGGAUGUAGAUAUGGUUCGCAUCCUAAUGAACGAGCUAAUAUUCGGUAAAAACAAAUUCAUUUAUUUAGCUCGUUAGGACUUGCUCCAUUAUUGCAGCAUGGUAGAAAUAGGCUAUAUGUGCAUCCUAGCAUACAUUACGUAAGUAAACAUCUUUUACUCAUCUUUAUGUCCAAUACUAUAGCUAUAGUUAUUUUUGUUCCUUUUUAACUAAGGUUGCUUUUACUUAGAUAUCUUUGGGAUGAAUGUGAUUGUGGAAGCAAGUUUUUUGUUAUGACCAAGCAAAAAUAACAUCACAUAUCAAGGAUCGUGAUCUCCGAUCCAGAAAUUUUGCCAACCAGUUAGAAGCGGCUACCUUGCGAACAAAUAGUUCUAAUUCCGUAUAAUACUGGGUAAAUAAAUAAGAUUAACACAUUAUUAUGUUUUUCAUUGAGGUUAAAUGUAUACUCACAUUGAAGAUGUUUAUUGUAGUUUCAUUGGAUGUUGCAUGUCAUCGAUCUUCGAGAGAACUGUGUUUAUUGUAGUUUCAUUGGAUGUUGCAUGUCAUUGAAGAUGGUGAUACUAAUUGGUUAUGAUCAUAUUGCACUUGCAACUUUUAGGGUAUUUUUCUUCCAUUUCUUUUCUACUUCCAAUUUCAUUUUCAAUUUCUGCAAAUUUUUUUUAGUUUUUCAUAUUUAUAUUGUUUUCCAAUGGUCAUUUGUUGUGUGGUGUCUUUCUUGUAAGUCAUUGGUUACUUUGUAAAGAGAAACACAUUAUGCACUAUGUCAUCGUUCUACUCUUUCUGCAACAUUUCCAUAAAGAAGCAAGAAAACAGCUAGCAGGCAGAUCAAACUUCCUUAAAUAUUCAAUUGGCCAUUUCGCCUUUUUGGAUUUAACAUUCUGCAUUUGUAUCGUUACCCUUAAAUCUCCUCACAAUCUCUUUGUUCUUCCAACAAUCAUUAAGAAAAAUCCCUGUAAACCGAACCCCAUGUAUUCCCUUUUCUCCUCACUUGCCAGAAUUUUGCCCACUCUCCAAACAAAAUCAUUUCAGCCUUACUUUUGUUCACUACCCAUUUCCAAAAAUUUCAUUUCCCUCUGAAAAUCUUUGUCGAUGGCCAAACCUGUGGCUGGGAACCGAAUGUUCUCGAUCAUGUCCAGUGCUGAACCUCUCAAUGGACUGCAAGGAUCAAGGGUUAAGGUUGGUUUUUCUAUUUUUGUUGGUUAGAGUUCGUGUUCUGUUUUUUUUUUUUACUUUGAGUUAAAUCCUUUGUAUUUGAAGAAAUUAAAGUUAUGGGAUGUGAUGCAUGUUGGCAGGGAGCCGAUUCCUUAGAAGUUGGUUAGUGUUCUUGUUCUGUUUUUUUUUCUUACCUUGAGUUAGUUACAUUGUUUAUGAAGAAAUGAAAGUUAUGGGAUGUGAUGCAUGUUGGUUGGUAGGGAGAUGAAUCCUUUCUUAGGAACGUUUUGGGGAGCAUGGAGGCUGUUUAUUUGAGUCGGAAGCCCACUGCAAAAUCUGUUUUGGAGUUUGUUCGAUCUGUCCAUGAUGAUACAAAUUUGUUAUGAUCAUAUUGCAUUUUGAAGUUUUGGGUAUUUUUCUUCCAUUUCUUUUCUACUUCCAAUUUCUGCUUAUUUUUUAUUCUUUCGUAUGUAUAUAUUUUUUAAUGGUCACUUGUUGUGCAGUGCCUUUCUUUUAAGUCAUUGGCUACUUUGUACAGAGAAGAACAAAGUGAACUAUGUUAUCGUUCUACUCUUUCUACCCCAUUUCUGUAAAGAAGCAAGAAAACACCUAACAGGCAUAUCAAUUUGCUUAAACAUUCAAUUGGCCAUUUAGCCUUUUGGGAUUUAACAUUGUGCCAUUCUUGUUGUUGCCCUUAAAUCUCCUCACAAACUCUUUGUUCUUCCAACAAUCAUUGAGAAAGAUCCCUAGAAUCGGAGCCCCAUGUCUUUCCUUUUUCUCCACGCCGUCCAGAAUUUUGCCCACUCUCGAAACAAAAUCUUUCCAACCUUAUUUUUCUUUACAACCCAUUUCCAAAAAAUUCAUUUCGCUUUUUGGAAAAUCAUCGUCUAUGCCGAAACCUGCAUCUUGGAACUGAUUGUUCUCGAUCAAGUCCAGUGUUGAACCACCGAAUGGACUGCAAGGAUCACGGGUGAAGGUUUAUUUCUUUCUUAUCGUUGGUUAGAGUUUUUAUCUUGUAUUGUACUGCCUUGACUUAAUUCCAUUAUUUUUGAAGAAUUUAAAGUUAUGGGUUUUGAUGAUCCUUUCUUAGGAACGUUUUGGCAAGACUGUACACUGCCUAUCUGAGUCGGAAUCCCACUGCAAUAUCCAUUUUGGAGCUUAUUCGAUCAGUUCAUGUUGAUACAAAUUUUUUAUGAUCAUAAUGCAUUUGGAAAUUUUGGGGUAUUGUUCUUCGUUCCAUUUUUUUUUCUACUUCCAAUUUCAUUUUUAAUUUCUGCAUAUUUUUUAUUCUUUCUUAUGUAUAUUGUUUUCUAAUGCUCAUAUGUGGUGCAAUGUCUUUCUUUUAAGUCAUUGGUUAUUUGGUGAAUAGAAAAACAAAGGGAACUAUGUCAUCGUUCUACUGUUUCUACGACAUUUCCAUAAAGAAGCAAGCCAGAUCAAACAUUCUGCCAUUCUUUUGGUUGCCCUUAAAUCUCCUCACAACCUCUUUGUUCUUCCAACAAUCAUUAAGAAAAAUCCCUGUAAACCGAACCCCAUGUCUUCCCUUUUCUCCCCACCGGCCGGAAUUUUUCCCACUCUCCACACAAAAUCCUCUCAACCUUAUUUUUCUUGACUACCCAUUUCCAAAAUUUUCAUUUCCUUGGAAAUUCUUUGUCGAUACCGAAACCUGCAGCUGGGAAUCGAUUGUUGUCGAUCAUGUCCCCGGUGCUGAACCUCCCAAUGGACUGCAAGGAUCAACGGUUAAGGUUUAUUCUUUUGUUAUCGUUGGUUUGACUUCUUGUUCUGCUUUUUUCUGCUUUGAUUUAAUUGCAUUGGUUUUGAAGAAUUUAACGUUAUGGGUUGUGAUGCAUGUUGAUAGCAAGCUGAAUCCUUUAUUAGGAAUGUUUUGGUGAGCAUGGAGUCAGUUUAUCCGAGUCGGAAUCCCACUGCAAAAUCUGUUUUGGGGCUUGUUCGAUCUGUUCAUCAUGAUACAAUUUGUUGAGAUCAUAUCGCUUUUAGAACUUUUGGGGUAUUUUUCUUCCUCCCAUUUCUUCUACUUCCAACUUCAUUUUUAUUUUAUGGAUUGAUCAUUCAAUUUCAGCAAACCCACUGGUUAUGGUCAAAAGCAUAUUUAAGUUGAAGAUAUAAUAUUACAUUUACCUCGUAAGUUUUUGGAUGAAUUGGUGAUUUAACAUGGUCUAGAGUGGAUAGUUUAGGAGGCUGUUAGGCCACCAUUGUUGCAGGGUCCCCUUCUAAAGCGAUCUGAAACAGUAAACUAACGCACUGCAACUCUUUCUGUCUUUCCUUUUGUUUUGAAUUGAUGGUUACUGCUUAAUUGCGCAGCCUUUAGGUUUUCCAUUUAAAUCGUUCUGACUUUUUUAGUGAUAUUUGAAGACUUUAAUUAAAUCACCUAGAAGUACUUAUUAAGAUUAGGACGUCGGUAAGAUUAGGACGUCGGGAUUUGUGAUUUCAAGGAGAUUAGAAAUGUGAGAAAUGUCCAUGUUCGUGAUCUAACUGUCGGCAUAUUUGUGUUUAUGAAUAUGGCCGUCGAUGUGAUAGUAUUCUCAGACUGUUUUGUAGUGCGCAUAUGCAGAAUUGUGGUCACAUUUGAUCAGCCUUCUAUUUUCUGCGUUUCUGUUCUUAGACAGCAUUUUUUAUGGCAAUGAGCCUUCAUUGUAGCAAAUCUGAUUUUCUCUAUUACAAUGUUUGCAGUUGAGGAAAUGGAAUGAGCGAUGGGUAGUUUUGGACCCAACAACAGGGAAAAUGGAGUAACCAUACGUCCCAUUUACACUGUUUUUGGUCCUUCCUUGCUUGGUUCAAUGUAGUAAUAUGUUGGUGGAAACAGCUCAUUUCUAAUGCUGCUGCCGAUGGUGAUGGGGUCAAUGGACCUCUGCCAAGAGUGUUCAUAUCACAAAUUGUUGUGGAUUAGUUGAGUAAAUAAACUCAGGUGCGUUUCACCGAAUUCUCGAUAUGCAGAAAUCUGAAUAUAUUUUUUCCUUCUGAAAUUUGGCUACAAGCUGUAUCUUGGUGCUGCAGUAAGUGUAUUGUUAGCGAUGUAGUAGGCAUAAGGUGGGAAUAGGAUGCAUUUUGUGUUUUAUCCAUUUAAGUUUUUGGUUUAUGCAACAAAACCUUAGCUUGAAUUACAACUUCAUAUCAUUUUUCCUACUGCAUUCAGUACAUAAUCAGAAGAUACACUGAAUGUUCUUGCAUUGGGAAGAAGCAUGCUGCUUUGGCUGGUUCUCUGGGUUCCUUCACAUGGGAAAAGCCUUUGCAUUCAGAGUUUGAGCAAUUAGCAAGGCUUUUAAUCUCCCAUGACUCUGAAACUUAUGUUAUUUAGGUCACCAUAUUAUCGUGGAGAAUGAACCAAAUUUCAUUUCUGAAUUGUGAUUUCACCAAGAAUUUGAAAACAAAAAUGCAUAUUGUUUUCUUUCUGAUUCUUUUUUAUUGCGUAUUAUUUUUUAUUGGUCAUUUACCUCCCACAUAUGACAUGAAUAGCGCCAAACAACUACAAAGAGAACUGCCACACUCCUAUAAUUGUUGCUAACCUACCUAACUAAGAAUAUACGACAAUCUCGAAAAUGUGCCAAUGAGAGACAUCAUCAGAUCCAGAGAUCAAGUUUGCCAAGAACUACUCAUAGUAGAAUUUGCAAAUAUGUGGUGCAAACUGAGCCAAGAAUAGACAACUCCAACCUUUUUGGAAUAGACGUGGUUAUCAACCUUUUGACUCUCUUCUUCUUUUCUUUCCUGACUUGGAUUCACUGCUCUGAUCAUUGGAUGAAUUUAGUGACUUUCCCUUUGGGUUCUCCAUUGUUUUCCCAGAAGUUGAUGAAUGCUUCACAUCUCCACUUUCUUUUUCUUUUGCUUUUGAAGAUGUGAACUUAACCUUGGUGGAGAGAUUGGUAUUAUUAGACUUAUCGCCUGUUUUGGUAGACUUGCCUUUUGAAACAGGAGUUUUUGGGGUUUCUUGUUUGGACUUCCCCGUCUUCGAUACAUCUUGCUUGUUGGACUUUGCAACAGCGGCAGGUGUGGAUGUCUCAUCGUCCUUAGAUUUGCUAGUCUUGUUGGAUUCGGCAUCAUCAUUCUUCGACUUGCCAGCGAUUUUUGGACCUGUGCUACCAAGUUUACUUCCAAUUUCAAGAGUGCCUUGAUCCUUUGAUUUACUUCCAAUUUUUGGAGGCUGGUUUCAGCACAGGUGUGGUUUCCUUUUUAUCAUCAUCACCUGACAAUCUUUUCACGUUUUUUCCAGAAAUAGAUUUAGCUGAUCCCUUCUUUCUCUUGACCUCUGAUUGUUUUAAAGAACUCCCCCCACUCUUGCUGGUUCCAUCACCCUUCCUAACAGACUGCUUCAAUGUCUUAGUUUCAAAAUCACUUGUAGUGUCAUUAGUUUACAUUUACAUUUACGUUGAAGAUAUAAUAUUACAUUUACGUCAUUAGUUUUUGGAUGAAUUGGUGAUUUAACAUGCUCUAGAGUGGAUAGUUUAGGAGGUCUGUUAGACCACCAUUGUUAUUUUACUUAUAAUAGAAGAAAGGAAAGUAAGGCACGUUAGUAAUCAACACAGUUACUUAUUCAAAAGGAUGACAGUUAUCUAAAACAGGAAGUUAAAUGGAUGAGAGGGCAGGCAGUUUUUAGUAAAAGGAAGGGCCUGCCAGAAUUGUUCUGGUUUUAAUUGUAGUAUUUUGAAUUGUGUUUAUUUCUGUUUUGGAUUAGGAGGGUUUCUUUGCUUGUUGUUUGUAAUUUCUCUGUAAUUUUCUUUCUAUUGCAACUUUAAGUCUCAAAUAUCAAUAUAAUAGAAACAGUACAUAAGUGUUCUAUCAAGGUUGUAUGUUCAGAAGUGAGUAGAUAGUUGAGGAAGUCCUAUGUUCAAAAGUGAGUAGUUUAGGAGGGUCCUAUGUUCAAAAGUUUGCUGGUGUGUAUCUUUGUUGGCUCAACAUGUUUUGAAUACAUUUUAGGUUAGAUUGAGUUUGUUGCACUUGGUUGUCAUUUUUGGUCUUGAAAUGCUUUUUUCAACCUUUUUGGUAGAUUAUGAGUUACGAACCUACAUUUAGGAUUUGCUAGGUCGUUUUGAAAACUCAAGUAAUACCUAGACACGUUUUGAGCACGUUUUAGGUUGGUUUGAACUAAGUUUGUUACACUUACACACUUGGUAGCCAUUUUGGGUCUUGUAGUGCUUUUUUCACACUAUUGGAACUUUUUUCGUAGGUUAUGAGUUACGAACCUACACGUAAGCUGUUUUAGGUCGUUUUGAAAGUUCAAGUGAUACUUAGACACAUUUUGUUCAAGUGAUACUGUUUUAGGUCGUUUUCAAGUGAACUUUUUUCUUCUUGUAUUGACUGUUUUACUAUUUCUUCAUGGUUUGUAUUCAUGGUAUUUAUUUUCGUAAUGAAUCUUUCAUGUUCUGGUAAACAUUGCAGAAACACAUAAUUUCAGCAAUCUGUCAAAGAGUUGAAGGAGAAGACAGAAGUACUUAAAGGUCACAUGAAGACCUAAAAGUUAGGUAAUUUUUUGAAAACUUUUUUCUUCGUCUUGCUUAGUUUUAGUGGUAUUUGUUAACAGGCUGAGACAUACUCUUGUAUGCCAAGGCUGGGUGGCCAAUUCAAUGGAUGGCCUGAGACGGUGAAAUGACGAGUGUAGAACAAAGUAGACAAUCGAGCAGAUUUACAAGUAGGAGGAUGGUGUUUGGUCUUACUCUAAAGCUACUGCUAGAAAGGUGAUUCUCCCUUUAUUUACACAUGUUAUCUAUAUUUAAUUACUGUUUUUAUGUGAUGGUGAAUAAAUAUUUAAGUCGUUUCAAGUUUUUACAUCAUGCUUGAGUUAAUACAUUUCCCAACUCGCACUAAUUUUAAAGUUGAGACUAAGUUUGUUGCACUUACACACUUGGUUGCCAUUUUGGAUUUUGGAGUGCUUUUUCUACAUUUUUUGAACUUUUUGGUAGGUUAUGAGUUAUGAAGUAACACUAAAGCAUUAUUAGGUCGUUUUUAAAGUUCGAGUGAUACUUAAACAUUUUUUGAACACCUUUUAGGUUGUUACAAACUAAGUUAGUUUUACAUACAGCCAUGGUUGCCAUUUUGAGUCUUGAAAGAUUUUUUUUCACACUUUUUGAAAUUUUUGGUAAGUUAUGAGUUAUAAACUUACACUUAAGCGGUGUUAGGGUGUUUGGAAACUUAUACGUGUUUUCAAUACUUGUUAGGUUUGUAUAGAACUAAGUUCGUUGCACUUACACACUUGACAUUUUGGGUUUUGUAGUGUAUUUUUCAAAAAAUUUGAACUUUUUGCUAGGUUAUGACUUAUGAACUUGUAUUGAAUAUUUGUUAGGUCGUUUUGAAAGUUCAAGUGAAACUUAGACACGUUUUGAACUCGUUUUAGGUUGGUUUGAAACUAAGUUUUACACACAUUUGAUUGACAUGUUGGGUCUUGAAGUACUUUUUUCAUACUUUUUGAAAUUUUGGUAGGUUGUGAGUUACAAACUUACACUUAAGCAUUGCUUGGUCGUUUUGAAAAUUCAAGUGAUACUUACACACGUUUUGAAUACAUUUUAGGUUAGAUUGAGUUUGUUGCACUUGGUUGUCAUUUUUGGUCUUGAAAUGCUUUUUUCAACCUUUUUGGUAGAUUAUGAGUUACGAACUUACACUUAGGAUUUGCUAGGUCGUUUUGAAAACUCAAGUAAUACCUAGACACGUUUUGAGCACGUUUUAGGUUGGUUUGAAACUAAGUUUGUUGCACUUACACACUUGGUUGCCAUUUAGGGUCUUGUAGUGCUUUUUCACACUAUUUGAACUUUUUUCGUAAGUUAUGAGUUAUGAAUCUACAAGUAAGCUGUUUUAGGUAGUUUUGAAAGUUCAAGUGAAACUUAGACACGUUUUGAACUCGUUUUAGGUUGGUUUGAAACUAAGUUUAAAACACAUUUGAUUGACAUGUUGGGUCUUGAAGUACUUUUUUUCACACAUUUUGAAAUUUUGGUAGGUUGUGAGUUACAAACUUACACUUAAGCAUUGCUUGGUCGUUUUGAAAAUUCAAGUGAUACUUACACACGUUUUGAAUUCAUUUUAGGUUAGAUUGAGUUUGUUGCACUUACACACAUGGUUGUCAUUUUUGGUCUUGAAAUGCUUUUUUCAACCUUUUUGGUAGAUUAUGAGUUACGAACUUACACUUAGGAUUUGCUAGGUCGUUUUGAAAAGUCAAGUAAUACCUAGACACGUUUUGAGCACGUUUUAGGUUGGUUUGAAUUAAGUUUGUUGCACUUACACACUUGGUUGCUAUUUUGGGUCUUGUAGUGCUUUUUUCACAAUGUUUGAACUUUUUUCAUAGGUUAUGAGUUACGAACCUACACGUAAGCUGUUUUAGGUCGUUUUGAAAGUUCAAGUGAAACUUAGACACGUUUUGAGCAUGUUUUAGGUCGUUUUAAGUAAAUGGUAUGUAUGUUGUGAUUGUUUGAUUGCAUGUAUGAUACCUAAUUGAGAUGUGAAUGCUUGAUUGAGAAGCUGAUAGAACACCAAGUAAUGGUUCUUAUUUGUUCAUUAAGCAACCAAACUAUUACAGAAUACAAUACUCAAACCAGUCUUGAAAACACAGAACAAAUAAGUACUAUUACAGACAAUAACCAAGUACAAAAUAAAACAUUCAAACAUCAAAAGUAGUUUACGAUAAUGGAAAACACUUUCUAAGAUUAAAGUAACUGAACAACUUCUGUAAUUCUGCUCUCCAGAAAAUACAUCCUCUCCACUUCCAGAAACUGAUUAACCAACCCCCAUCUUUCCUUCCAUCUCUCCCUUUUAACCUCCCCCCUGUAACUAAUUGUUGUCCCCACUAAGGUGGUUUCCACUUCCUCCAAUUCCAUCACCUGUGCACGUGCAAUUCCACUUGUCUUUCUUCUGCUAUAUUGUAUUGCAAUUGGUGGUCUAUCAUUACUCUCCCUCUCCAAAGACACCUUGUUCUCAAGGUGGGAAAUGAGGAAGCUUUUGUGUAAAAUCAUCACAAUUCUCCCAUGUAGCCUCAUGAGGUGGUAUUCCUUUCCAACUAACAAGCACUUCCCACUUCUUUGUUGCUGGAUUUUUAGGAUAGCCAAAAUUGUCUGCUGGUAGUAACUCUUGAAAUGUAGGAACAUCAUCAAUUCCAUAUAGUUCGGUAAAUGUCAUUCCUCCCUCCAUAGCUCGACAUUUUGUCAAGAAACCGUAAUCAGAUGGUGUCCAUGUCUCCAUCAUGUGUUACAGACUCACUCUAGUCUUUGUCAAACUCGGGUCACCCCUUAUAACAACAUUCUUUUCAUUUUGUAUGAAAGUUAAAGUGAGUUUCCGCCAAUCCACUUCAAUUACCCCAACGUGUGCAGCCAUUGCAUUCCAAGGAUGACAUCAUGAUAGAACGCUGAUGUAGUGUUUCUAUUAUAUUGACAAUUCAAACACAACUUACAACAUAAGCAAACCGUGAACCUCAGAAAAUGAGUCACGUUACAUAUAAUUCACAAACAUCAAACAAAGAAAACCUCCUAAUCCAAAAUUACGAACAACAAAAUACUAAUAAGCAAACAAGAAUAUAGAACACCAAUCUUCUGCUUCCCCUGUCUUUCAAGGAGUAUUGCAGACCUUUUCCUUCACUCCGAAAACUCACUUUAACAAAUCCUAAACUAUAUAACUAACUCAAGAUACAAAAUUGUUAAUUCAAAUAACUAAUCCUAAACUAUAAAAAAUGGUAAUUCAAACACCUCCUCUAGGAUAAAACUCAAGAAACAUAAAGAAGGGGGAUGUUCUACAUUAGCUUUUGUCAAGGCUUUAGCCAAAAUUUUAUUUAUCAACUGUGGGGGAGGAUUUGAGAGCUCCCCAAUCUCUACACACUUCUCUAAUGAGAGUCUAUACCAAAAUCAUAUGUCCAAAAAGAUACCCAUACCCUCCCACUCAAGAAACUUAAGUAAUUGCUUAGAGAAAUAACAAAAUACUUGGCCCCACUCUAACAAACACAUUCCUAAGGGCCCACACAAAUAGAAAAAUACCAACUAACUCUCAAUCAUUCUUUCUUCUUCCUAUUCUUGUCUCUACGGGAAUACACCUUUACUAUGGGAGGUCUAUCAUUACCCCCCCCCCAAAUAGCCACCUUGUCCUCAAGGUGGAAUUCAGGAAACUGUUUCUUGAAUAAGAGCAGCUUGUUCCCACGUUGCACUUUCAAGUGUCCCCUCACUCCAACGGAUCAAAACUUCUAAGUUGUCCUCCUUUUCUAUUGUUUUGCGAACUCCCAAUACUUCUACCGGAGACACUUGCAUAGACAAAUCAGCAGCCAAAUCUUUUGAAAUUGGGAAUAAUGGCCUGUUUGAACCCACGACCUUGCGAAGAACAGAAACAUGAAAGACCGGGUGUAUAAGCGAUUCCUUGGGAAGGGCCAAACGGUAUGCAACGAAACGAAUUCGUGCCACGAUCAUAAAUGAACCAAUGAAUCUUGGGGCCAAUUUGGAGUGCUUAAAACGGCUGAGAGAGGACUGUCGGUAAGGGCGUAACUUCACAUAAACCCAAUCAUGAACCUCAAACUGCACCUCCCGUCUUUUAGCAUUAGCAUAUUUGACCAUUCGCUGCUGUGCUUUCAGUAAAUUGGCCUUCAAAACGCCCAAAAUUUCAUCUCUUUCUUUCAUCAAAUGGUCUACUUCAUCAUUCACCCGGCUCGAGCCCUUCACAUAUGGUAAUAUAGAGGGGGGUGGUCGCCCAUAGAGGGCCUCGAAGGGGGUCAUCAAUGUGGCUGUACGGACUGUUGUAUUAUAGCUUAAUUCAGCCCAAGCUAGCCAUUUAACCCAUUGUUUAGGUGUGUUCAUAGAAAAACACCCUAGAUACGUCUCCACCCCUCGAUUGACAACUUCCGUUUGACCAUCUGUUUGGGGGUGGUAAGUGGUGCUUCAUCUCAACUGAGUUUCCAACAACCUCCACAACUCUUCCCAUAAUAGACUUGUGAAAAUACGAUCACGAUCCGACACUAUACUUCAGGGGCAUCCAUGCAAACGAAUAAUCUCUCGCAUAAAAACAGCAGCAACCACUUUUGCACCAAAUGGAUGUUUCAAGGGGAUGAAAUGUGCAUACUUGGAAAGAAGAUCCGCAACUACCAAUAUAACAUCAUAACCCUCGGAUUUGGGGAGGCCCUCAAUAAAAUCCAUACUAAUAUCUUCCCACACACGGUCCGGAAUGGGUAAUGCUUGAAGGAAACCAGCCGGAGUUAAAGACAAGUAUUUGGCUUGCUGACACACGGAACAUUCAGCAACAUAGGUGCGGAUAUGGGCUUUCAUACCUCGCCAAUAUACCUCCCUUGCUAGCCUUUGAUAUGUUUUCAAUGCACCAUGAUGUCCCCCUAUUUGGCUGUUAUGGAACUCAGCUAAUAAUAAAGUAAUAUCAGGUGAAUCCUCCUCCUUGUAGCAAAUAUCCAUCUGGAGCUUAUUGUCCAUUUAUCAAGGAUAGUCGAAUAUUGUUAAGAGAUUCAUUUCCAGCCACUUGAUCGAUGAAAACGAAGGGUUUAGCCCGCCCACAAUACUUACGAGGCCCAAUUCAAAUACCGGUGGUAAUCUCUAUAAGGCAUCGGCCGCUUUGUUUUCCAAUCCUUUCUUGUACUCAAUCACAAAAUCAUACCCCAAUAGUUUAGCGAUCCAUCUCUGAUAUUCUCCCCCGAUAGCCCGUUGUUCAAGAAGAAACUUCAAACUUUUCUGAUCUGUACGCACCACAAAAGGCUUACCCAAUAGAUAUGGUCGCCAUUUUUGAACAGCCAGCACUAUUGCCAUAAGCUCCCGUUCAUAAACAGCCUUAAACCUAUGGGUAAUAGGUAAAGCUUGACUGAAAAAGGCCACUGGUCGUUGAUUUUGCAUUAGGACAGCCCCAAUACCCACACCCGAAGCAUCAGUUUCCAGCACAAAACUUUGUGAAAAAUCAGGAAUACCUAGCAUCGGGACAGACAUCAUUGCUGACUUUUAACUGCUGAAAUGCGUUCUCGGUCGUCUCAUUCCACUUAAAGUUACCUUUUUUUAACAGUUGUGUCAAGGGGGGCAGCACAAUAGAACCGUAGUUUGCAACGAAUUUCCGAUAAUACCCCGUUAGCCUCAAAAAACCCACCUAGCUCCUUCACGUUCUUCUUGGGUGCUGGCCAUUUAACCAUCGCUUCUAUUUUUGUUGGAUCCGCUGCCACCCCCUCUGAAGAAAUAACAUGGCCCAAGUAUUCAAUUUUGUCAACCGCAAAUUGGCAUUUUUUAAAGUUGGCUACCAGUUGAUGAGCUACUAGAGUUUCCAAAACCAUUGCCAAUUGGUGCAAAUGCUCGUCCAAGGACUUGCUGUAAAUUAAGAUGUCAUCAAAGAAAACCAAAACAAACUUGCGUAAAUAUGGGCGAAGAACAUCACUCAUGAUUGAUUGGAAUGUUGCCGGAGCGUUUCAACCCAAACAGCAUCACAAGGAAUUCAUAGGGCCCCUCGUGGGUUCGAAACGCUGUUUUGUGAACAUCGGCUGCCCGCACAAAUAGAAAAAUAUCAGAAUGCUUGUUUUUCUUUAUUUAUUUUGUAAUGUCAAUUAAUUGGCUAAUUAUUUAUAUGCUUGUUGAUAUCGCUGCAUGUUUUAUUUUGUAAUGUUUGUACUUUUUAGUUGUGAUUUGUGAAUAUGCUAGGAUUGAUUUGAUUUGCUCUUCUGACUGUUAAGAUCGGAAUGAUGUUGCUCAUCUGAAAGUAGGCAGCAUCAUGUGCUUGAAGACUUGUAGAGUAUGGAGAGUGAAUGGUCAAAUUUGAGGAAUCAUAUCUGCUGGCUUUGUAGUCCAAACAGGUUGUCUGGCUAACUUUCUUUUUCUCAUUUUCAACCAAUUAGGAUAGCUGUCAUGUUUUUUGAAUUCCUUGCCAUUCUUGAGUAGUAACUUCGCAUUUAUUUAUUAAAAGGUUUUAAUUAAGAUUAUGGUGUUCAUAACUUUGUAGUCACACUAAAUAACUUAAAAGAGUUAGUUUGACAGUUGACAAACAUGAUAGUAAUGUGAUAGUGAGUGCAAGGGUAAAAAGAGUUGCUUCUGUUGGGUUAAAGUGAUGUUUGUGUUUUUUAGUGUGAUGUGUUUUGUUUUCAAGUUCGUUAGUAGACGUAUUACUUAAUUGAAAAUUUUGAUACCAUAGCCAGUGCAGGGGAAGAUGAAUGGAGGGUGCUAUUAGACUAGUUAAGACUUAUAUGUAUCCUAAUUUUAGUAAUAUAUAAAAUUGAGAGAAUUUCCUUUGAUUUUCAGGAACAAGGAUGAAUAAUCAAUGAAAAAGGAAUGAAAAGGUUUAUCCAUGCAAGCUUCAAACAAAAGUCAAGGAUGUCGAUCCUUCCAGGGGAGUCCAAAGUUCCCCCUUAUUUUUCUCCAUUUACUUUGAUUUUCAAAAGCUUUUAGGACAGAAAAAGCAAUUUUUUGAGUGGGUGUGGGUAAUAGCUUGCUUAGCUUGCAUGUUUAGUGUAAACUUGGGGGUUCAAAUUUUGCCCAAAUUUCAAAAUUUUUCAGAAUUCUUUCCUUACAAUAAUGAGCAUUAUACCUUCUUAGCUUAAUUAGAUCUUGCAUAAAAAGCAUGAUUGGCAACCCUUGAGCAUUGAGCUCGGGUUUAUGAUGUGAAAUUCUGAAUUUUGAUGAGUAUAUGUGCUGAAAUUUGAGCAUAAGCUGCUGUCUUUUUUGUUUUAAGCUCUUUUUAGCUAUUUCUUAUUGAGAUGUGAAUGCAUGAUUGAGAAAAUGGUAUGUGUGUUGUGAAUGCUUGAUUGCAUGUAUAAUAAAUAAGUGCAUGGAUACUUUUCUAGCUUUGUCUUCCUUUGUUGCUUUGUCGUGACUUACCUAUGAUGCACUUAGUCCAAACCUAGCCUAGAUAGAGUAAAAAAGGAUAGGAGGCACUCUUUAGAAUCUGGGAUGGUUUUAACAAAUUUGUCUUAUCAAACAUGAGUUAGAAGCCUCUUGUCUAGCCACAAUGAACUAAAUCCCUUUAGAAAAGGGUCGACAUUAACAAAACUUAUUGUCACUUCGAAGGGAGCAAUCAAACUUAAUUAGUAACUAAAUGUAGAACCAUAGAAAGGUUAGCCCACCGGUCUCGCAAGGCCUAGUUACCACAUUGCAUACCAAAGAAAGAAAAGAGAGACUUGACAAUGCAAAACAUAAAACAGUAAGACAAUCAAGAGCUAUAAAAAAAAUCAAACAACAUAUCCAAUAUACAUUAGAAAAACCCCAUAAAAAAUGGGGGAAAACUUCACUUUUGGCCUAACCAAAACCAAACCACCUACUCUUAGCGUUCUAAACUUAGCAUCGAGUUUGAUGAGGGCUUUGAAAAGAGGAGGAAUCCUCCCCGAUCCACAUUAGGGGAAAAACAAGGCUUGUUGUCACUCCGAAGGGAGCAGUCAAACCUAGCAUUGAGUUUGACGAGGGCUUUGAAAAGAGGAGGAAUCCUCCCCGUUCCAUAGUAGGGGGAAAACGAGGCUUGUUGUCACUCUGAAGGGAGCAGUCAAACUUAGAACCUAAGUUUAGAACCAUAGAAAGGUUAGCCCACCGGUUCUAGCAAGACCUUGUUACCACAUUGCAUACCAAAGAAACAAAAGAGAGACUUGCAAAUGCAAAACGUAAAAAGGUUAGACAAUCAAGAGCUAUAAAAAAACAAACAACACAUGCAAUAUACAUUAGAAAAAUCCCAUAAAAAAGCAAAGAGCCAACUUGGUUCGGUCGAGUAGAAUGUGUUGAGUUCCCUAACUAUCAGAGCUUUUAGUAGAAAACUUUACUUUUGGCCUAACCAAAACCAAACCACCUACUCUUAGCGUUCUGAACUUAGCAUCGAGUUUGAUGAGGGCUUUGGAAAGAGGAGGAAUCCUCCCCGAUCCACAUUAGGGGGAAAACAAGGCUUGUUGUCACUCCGAAGGGAGCAGUCAAACUUAGCAUUGAGUUUGACGAGGGCUUUGAAAAGAGGAGGAAUCCUCCCCGUUCCAUAGUAGGGGGAAAACGAGGCUUGUUUAUGAGGAUUUUCCCUUGGGAAAUUAUUAUAAAAGUGACAAAUGAAAAUAUUGAUUGGUUUCUGAACCACUGUGGUGCCCUUGUUUGUUAUUUUCCCUUAUGUUGCUUUAUGCUUGGUUUUCUAAUUGAUAAUAUCAUCUUAAAGUGUUCUAAUUGAUAGCACAUAUCUCUUAGUGUUAGUACUUUCUUUCCUUUCUCUCUCUUACAUAUAUAGGGGAUAUGUUGAGCAUUUUUGCUAGCAAGGAUUAUGUACUUAACAAGGCCUUAGUGGAUUAGAGAGUUAAGAAAUUUGCAUAUGCUUGCAUCCAGACUGUACACCAUAAUAGGUAAUUAGUUUUUUCCAUUUUAACAUUCCUUAUUAAAAACUUAUCCUUUUUAACGUUUUGAAUGGAAGAACAGAUGUUUGAUCUAUCAUUGUUGAUUUUGUUGGCUUUCUAUGCUAUGAUCCUUUAAUUGUAUAUGAUAUAUUUCUUUUGUUGAAAAGUGAUAUAUUUCUUAGAUUUUGUUCAGAUAUAUAUAAUUGACAUAAAGGUUUUUUUACCUUCAGCUAACGAAUUCAGACUAAUCUUAUUUAUAUAUAUGUCAGUUGUCUUUAUUUUUCCUCUGAAUUAUUCUUACUUGAUGUUGUUCUUGAUAGAAACCAAUUGAGGAAUCAACUUUUGGCUGCACCUCUGAACUCUAACACACCUGCAACUCUAUUGUUAGACACAAUUAUUUUCUUAUUACAACCUGAACUCCCAUGGGUUUGUAAAAUUGUUGGUUACUUCCUGGAAAGAAAUGCAUAUGCGUUGAUUAGGGAUAUCACUUUGACAGGGAAGGUAUAACUGUACUUCCUUUUUCUUCUACUUGCAAGUGGUUUUUUUUAUAGAUAUUUUGUUUUGCCGUGGAUUAUCCUCUGCAGGUGUUUUUCAGAGAACUAAUUCACACUCAAACUAUUGCAGGAAAGUGCAGAUUCACAUUCCAAGAGUUCAUUGGCUUCUCUAGAACAUCUGCUGUCUCUUUUGAGUUCUCAUGUUGGUAAGAAGCCAUGUUGUUGCCCACGUGUUAAUCCCAAUUGGAGUUUCUCCUCUAAAAUUCUUACUCUUCCUUUAUUGUGGCGGACAUUCACAUUUCACACCUCUCUCUACCCAAUGGACAAAGUUGCAUGUGUCAUCCUCUACUAGGUUUGUGUACCUUGCUGUUUGGAUAUAAUGGCGUUAGUAAUGGUUUAAAGGUCAUGUUUUCUCAAUAACGAGAAACAUAACAUGCAUGUACUUCAUUUUAAAAAAGAAAAAAAAACUCUAUAGAUUUUUUUUGAAAAGAUCUUUUUAAGUACAACUUGGUGUGGGACAUAAAAAAUUAUGACUAUUCUAGCAUACAGAAUGGAGUUAGCUCCAGUACUCUGGAGUUUUAUUAAAAAGUGCCACGAGAAUAAAAAAUGGUCAUCCUUUUCAGAGAAAUUGGCAUAUUUAUCAGGAGAUGCACCUGGUUGGCUAUUACCUUUGGCUGUUUUUUGUCCUGUGUACAAGUAAGAUUAUCUUCUUUAUUCCUGUUCCUCUACUUUUGAAUUUCGCUUUAAUUCCUCAUCUGAUGUUAUAUAAUUAUAUGGUAUGUUAUAAGAUUCGGCAUGUCCUGAUCACUUCUUUCCUUAUCAAUCAGGCACAUGCUCAUAAUAAUUGACAAUGAGGAGUUUUAUGAGCAGGAGAAGCCACUAUCGUUAAAGGACAUCAGAUGCCUGAUCGUUAUUUUAAGACAGGUGAGCUCUUUAAUUCCAUCAUAUGUCCAAAAAGAUACCCAUACCCUCUCACUCAAGACACUUAAGUAAUUGCUCAGAGAAAUAACAAAAUACUUGCGCCCCACUCUAACAAACACAUUCCUAAGGGCCCACACAAAUAGAAAAAUACCAACUAACUCUCAAUCAUUCUUUCUUCUUCCUAUUCUUGUCUCUACGGGAAUACACGUUUACUAUGGGAGGUCUAUCAUUAUCCGCCCCCCAAAGAGCCUCCUUGUCCUCAAGGUGGAAUUCAGGAAAUUGUUCUUGAAUAAGAGCAGCUUGUUCCAAUGUUGCACUUUCAAGUGUCCCCUCACUCCAACGGAUCAAAACUUCUAAGUUGUCCUCCUUUUCUAUUGUUUUGCGAACUCCCAAUACUUCUACUGGAGACACUUGCAUAGACAAAUCAGCAGCCAAAUCUUUUGGAAUUGGAAAUAAUGGCCUGUUUGAACUCACGACCUUGCGAAGAACAGAAACAUGAAAGAUGGGUGUAUAAGCAAUUCCUUGGGAAAGGCCAAAACGGUAUGCAACGAAACCAAUUCGUGCCACAAUCAUAAAUGGACCAAUGAAUCUUGGGGCCAAUUUGGGGUGCUUAAAACGGCUGAGAGAGGACUGUUGGUAAGGGCGUAACUUCACAUAAACCCAAUCAUGAACCUUAAAUAGAACCUCCUGUCUUUUAGCAUUAGCAUAUUUGACCAUUCGCUGCUGUGCUUCCAGUAAAUUAGCCUUCAAAACACCCAAAAUUUCAUCUCUUUCUUUCAUCAAAUGGUCUACUUCAUUCACCCGACUCGAUCCCUUCACAUACAGUAAUAUAGAGGGGGUGGUCACCCAUAGAGGGCCUCGAAGGGGGUCAUCAAUAUGGCUGUACGGACUGUUGUAUUAUAGCUCAAUUCAACCCAAGCUAGCCAUUUAACCCACUGUUUAGGUGUGUUCAUAGCAAAACACCGUAGAUACGUCUCCACCCCUCGAUUGACAACUUCUGUUUGACCAUCCGUUUGGGGGUGGUAAGUGGUGCUUCGUCUCAACUGAGUUUCCAACAACCUCCACAACUCUUCCCAGAAUAGACUUGUGAAAAUACGAUCACGAUCCGACACUAUACUUUGGGGGCAUCCAUGCAAACGAAUAAUCUCUCGCAUAAAAACAGCAGCAACCACUUUUGCACCAAAUGGAUGUUUUAUUUUGUAAUGUUUGUACUUUUUAGAUGUCUUUGAGAUGUUUGCACCAAACAGGAGCAUUAUGUCAUUGAGAUGUUUUAUUUGGAUUGAAAAACCAAAACAUCUCAAUGACAUAAUCGCUGCAUGUUUUAUUUUGUAAUGUUUGUACUUUUUAGUUGUGAUUUGUGAAUAUGCUGCGAUUGAUUUGAUUUGCUCUUCUGACUGUUAAGAUCGGAAUGAUGUUGCUCAUCUGAAAGAAGGCAACAUCAUGUGCUUGAAGACUUGUAGAGUAUGGAGAGUGAAUGGUCAAAUUUGAGGAAUCCUAUCUGCUGGCUUUGUAGUCGAAAUAGGUUGUCUGGCUAACUUUCUUUUUCUCAUUUUCAACCAAUUAGGAUAGUUGUCAUGUUUUUUGAAUUCCUUGCCUUUGUUGAGUAGUAACUUGGCAUUUGUUUAUUAAAAGGUUUUAAUUAAGAUUAUGGUGUUCAUAACUUUGUAGUGUCACACUAAAUAACUUAAAAGAGUUAGUUUGACAGUUGACAAACAUGAUAGUAAUGUUAUUGAAUAAUGACAUUCCUCUAGUACUUCUGCCAAAAGAAAAUCUUUCCCGGGCCCAACGAGUGAUAUUAAAAUCCCCACCUAUGCACCAGGCCAUGGCCGAACAAUCAGCGCCAAUUCGGGCCAAACCAAUUUCCUUUCUCUGCAACCACAAGGGCCAUAGACAUUUGUGAUCCAACAAACCUUUUUUGCACAAAGUGAGGCAUUUGAUUGACAAAGAGAAGCGUCUUUUAAUGACCUCUGUUACAGAUAUUUUACUGCUGUCCCACAUGGUAAGAAUUCCCCCAGAAGAUCCAACAGAAGCCACAUAAUCCCAGCCAAUAUCCUUUGAACUCCACAAUGAUUUUAUAAAAGCCAAGUUCAAGGUGUCCUUCUUAGAUUCUUGAAUCAUGACUACAAUUGUUGAUGAAUUUUUUAAGUGCUGCAUGUUUAGAGGAGUCGUUCAAACCCUUAGUGUUCCAGGAGACAACCUUAAUAAUGACUGGGAGGAGGAAAAGGCAGUUGCACAUCUAAUUUAAGCCAUAAUGAUUCCACAAUCACCGACUAUAGACACUAAAUCUUUAGGCAAAUCCAGGGGAAUUUUAAUAGGGAGAAUAUCUUCAUCAUUGAACAAGACAUUCAGACCCAUCCCAUUAAUUUCUGGGACUAUUUUAGGGUCAACUUCAGUGUUGGGGACUGCCAAUUUAACUGAUCUCAACAGUAAGUUGAUUAAGUUGGGCAGUAGGAGGGACACGAGACAAGGCAUCUGCUGCUUUGUUUUCUAGUCCCAGUUUAUACACGACAUCAAAAUUGUAGCCAAGAAGCUUAGCAAUCCACCUUUGAUGUUGAGGUUGGAUAACCCUUUGUUCCAAUAAAAGUUUCAAUGAUCGUUGAUCAGUUUUCACUACAAACCUCUUGCCCAAAAGAUAAGGUCUACAGUGUUGCACAGCCAAAACUACAGCCAUUAAUUCCCGUUCAUAAACUGGUUUAGCACGAUCCCUCAUAGUUAAUGUUUGGCUCAAAAUAAGCAAUUGGUCGAUGAUUUUGAAUUAAGACAGCACCUACCCCGUAUCCAGAAGCAUCGGUCUCUAUUUUCAAAUGGUAAGGAAAAAUCAUUCAGUGCUAAGAUUGGGAGAGUCAUCGUAGCCAUCUUUAAAUUCUCAAAAGCUUCAGCAGCUGCAACAGUCCAUUCAUAUGCUCCUUUCUUCAAUAAUUGAGUCAAAGGAGCAGCCACACUUCCAUAAUUCAUUACAAAUCUUCGAUAAUAUCCUGUCAACCCAAGAAAUCCACGAACUUCACAGACAUUAGUGGGCACGGGCCAUUCUUUGAUAGAUCUAAUUUUCUCGGGAUCAACCUCUACACCCUUGCGCCGAAAUUAUAUGGCCAAGAUACUCCACUUUCAUUUUGGCAAACCCACACUUGUGCAUAUUAGCAUAUAAUUUAUUCUCUCGCAGCACCUCUAGCACCCAUUCUAAAUGUUGAAGAUUUUCAUCCAAACUUCUAUUGUAAAUUAAUAUAUCAUCAAAAAAGACUAAGAAAACCUGUGUAGGUAAGGUUUAAAGAUACUAUUCAUCAAAGCUUGAAACGUUGAUGGUGCAUUGGUGAGCCCAAAAGGCAUGACAAGAAACUCAUAAUGCCCCUCGUGAGUUCUAAAAGCUGUUUUCUUCACAUCCUUUUUACACAUUCUAAUUUGAUGAUAUCCCGCCUUGAGAUCAAUCUUCGAAAAUAUAUUAGCCCCAUUAAGUUCAUCAAACAAUUCCUCUACUACUGGAAUAGGAAACUUGUCUGGAACAGUCACACUAUUCAACGCACAGUAAUCUACACAAAACCGUCAACUACCAUUUUUUUUUCACCAACAAGACUGGGCUCGAAUAUGGACUAGUACUAGGUUUUUAUGCCAAAUGCCAUCAUUUCAUCAACCAAUCUUUCCAUCUCCUCCUUUUGCUGGUAUGCAUAUCUAUAAGGCCGAACAUUGCCUGGAUUAGUCCCCUUCUUAAGAUGUAUAUGAUGUUCAAUGGUACAUUGUGGUGGCAACUCUCCAGGCCAAUAAAAAACAUCUUCAUUCUUAGCUAACACGGCUGGAAUAGACUCAUGAGCGGUAGGCACGUCAUCAACCCCAUACAUCGCUGCAAAUGCCAUUCCACCUUCCAAAGAUCUACACUCAAUCAGAAAUCCCUGAUCAAGUUCUGUCCAUGUCUUCAUCAUGUGCUUCAAACUCACCCUAGCCUUCGUACGACUCGGAUCUCCCCUCAAUACAACCUUCUUCCCAUUUUGUAUGAAUGUCAAAGUAAGUUUUCACCAAUCUACUUCGGUUACUCCUAAUGUAUGUAGCCAUUGCAUACCAAGAAUGACAUCCACUCCCCCCCAAUUCCAAUGGAAGAAAAUUAUCCACAACCUUCCAUUCACCCAAUAGCAGUUCCACUUGUUUACAAAUUCCCUUCCCUUUUACAGCAGAUUCAGACCCCAAAAUAACCCCAUAAUCAGAAGUUUCCUGCAAUUGCAACAACAAUUGAGUUACUAACUUUUCAGAUAUAAAAUUAUUGGUCUCGCCGCAAUCUAUCGAUACUACUACUGACCUUUCUCUAAUCAUUCCUUCAAUUUUCAUAGUUCCAGGGUUUGUUAAUCCCACCACCGAAUUUAUUGAUAAUUCGAUCACGGGUUCUUCUGGUUUAACAACUUCAGUCUCCUGUAUUUCAGUUUCCACUUUUGAAUCCUCUUCUUCAACUACUCUAGUUCUUCCCCGUUUGCCCCAACAACUAAAACUCUAAGUUCCUUAUGAUCUUUCACUUUACACUUAUGGCCCACAAAAAAUCAUUCCUCACAACGAAAACAGAGACCUUUCUCACGUCUAGCCUGAAACUCAGCAUCAGAAAGUCGUUUUAAUGGUCCUUCUCGUCGAUUAGGUUCACCAGCCACUCCUCGAAGUGUAAUCAUCCACAUUCGAACAAUCCCUCGUGACUUAUUAUCAUUAGAAAUCACAGGAAUUUGAGGUUUAAAAGAAGCAGAAACCUGGAAUCUUCCAUCCGCUGCACGUUUGAAACUUGAUUCUCCCAUUAUCACUUCUCGGUUCUCAAUCUUUUGGGCCAACUUCAUCAUUUGAACAAGCCCCAUAGGUUCCCAACAUUCCAUGUCUGCCUUAAUCCAUGGUUUCAAACCAUUCAUAAAUGUUUCUUCUAAGACAGCCUUUUGUAGAAAAGGCAAUGGUGCUACUCAUUUAUCAAAUAAAUUCCAAUAUUCUUCCACUGUAAUUUCUUGCUUGAUCUUUAAACAUCUUCCCAGAAUUGAUCCCUCACGACUCGAUCGAAAUCAAACAAUAAGUCUCUUCUUUAAAUCGUCCCAAUUAACAAACGGUUCACAAUCUUCAUGAGAUCUAUACCAAUUCAAAGCUGCUCCAUCAAAACUAAUAAUGGACACAAUCAUUUUCUCUGAAUCACUCAGUUUGUGUAUCUGAAAGUAUCUCUCAGCCCUAAACAACCAAGAAUCAGGAUCAUUUCCUACAAAAACUGGCAUUUCAAUUUUUUUAAAUUUGCUUCGGUCGCCCGCAGAAUCUUUACCCUCCAACUUGGUAUGUUUUUCCUCAUAUUUUCUUCCCAUCAUCGUCCAAUCACUGACAUCAACCAUGCUGUCAACUCACUUGAUGAUCCUUCUAGUACUUCUUCCAUCGUUGUCUUCCCUUUGAUCAUUCCUUCAAUAUAUUUCAACAGUGUUUCUGGUUGUUGUUGUUGCUUCUCAGCCUGUACUCCUAACCUCUCAAUACUCUUCGCCAAAGAUGACAUGUUUUCCUUGAUUGUUGGCAGAUCAUGUAAUUCUGCUCGAAUGCCAGAUAUUUCUUGAUCUACCAUUUCCAACUUUUCCUCAAUUCGCUUUUGAGCCAUGAUAUAGAACUUCACAGAUUCGAUUUCUCUGAUACCAAGAUGAUAGAACACCAAAUAGUGUGUUCUAUUAAUUUAUUAAUCAGCCAAACAUUUACAGAAAACAGGUUCUAACACAGUCUUGAAAACAAAGUACUCGACAAUUUGGAAGACAGAAGCCCUAGAAGAGUGAAUAUCACGCUUUGGAGAAUGCGAAAUGGACUAUGAACUGUGCAGAAGUUUUGCAAAUGAAACCUCCCUUUCUCAGUUUAUCUUCUCAUGUUUGUCCCUUGUGUUUGCAUGCUUUAGAAGAUUUACAUCAUAUUUUCUUCUCCUACCUACAUGCAAAGAAGUGUUGGUUUUGGCUUACUUGGCUAUCUUCAUUUGAAUUGGGUUUUCGACUAUAGAUUUAGGAGAACGCGGUCCAACUUAUUUCAUGUCCCAUUCUCAAGAAGAAACCAAGAUUGAUUUGGUUAAAUGCAGUAAAGGCCAUUUUACCAGAAAUUUGGUUUGAACAUAAUCAACUAACAUUUCAAAAUAAAGCUUUCUCUUGGACAACUCGAGUCGAAAUGGCUAGAAUCAAUGCUUCUACUUGAUGCUCUCUUUCAAAAGACAUCAAAGAUUUCUCCAUACAAGAUAUAAGUCAUAACUGGCUGACUUUCAUUUUUAAUUCUUAGUCCACUAUUGUACUCUUAUUUUAUUUCUUUUGGAUUUCUAGUGGUCUUAAAUCUAUGUUGUAUAGUUAUUGGGCAGUUUGUAUGAUCUAUUCUAAACCAUGUCGUUGGUUUAGUCUUUUGGUUUAAGUCUCGAUAUGGUGAGAACGCUAAGUGGGUGUCAACCUAGAUGAGAUGUCCGAGUGCACUAGUUGAUCCUAGGGCUUCUUUGUAUUAUCUUUUGUCUUGUCUACUCAUUUUCAGCUUAAUGAAGAGGCUCCUUUCCUAUUUCAAAAAAAAAAAAAAAAAAAAGGUAAAUGUGUGAUUCUUAUAAAGUAAAUUAUCCUACAGAUUAAAAGUUUGAACUUAGACUAUUCCAAGUGCUUCACCAAAUCUUAAAUAUUUGAACCAAGUGCACCAACUUUGCACAACACAACAAUGUAAAACACAUUAACUACUUUCUCUUUUAUGCACAUUAUAUAUCAAAUAAAAAUAGUAGAAGGGAAAAAAUGGAGAGAAAAAAACAUACUAACAACGAUAAAAUAUAAUAAGCUUCAAUCGAAGAGAGAAGGUUUGAAGAACAUAAUUCAAAGGUUCCCAAAAUCAUAUCAUAAUUAGAAAGCCAAUACCAACCACCAAUUCAAAGAGAACACCUAAUCUACCAUACAAAAGUCUAAAUAUAAUAUAUUUUUUUUAAUCUUGUGUUUUAGUGUAUGAUGCAAGUGAAGAAAAACAAUAUUACAAUAUAAGUUCUUUUUACCCUGAUAUUUAUUAAUCAACUAAGAAAAAUUUGCGUUCAAAGUUGACCAAGAAUCCAAGACUUUCAAUCGGCAAAGGUAAUAUUAUGAACAUGGUAGUUGGAUGUGUUCCCUUUAGCAUACUAUCUUAAAUAAUCACUUUUUGUUAUUUGAGAAAAACUCCAUUUUCUCUUAUUACGGAAAAAGGAUUUGAUAAUAGGUAAGUAUAAUUUAAUAGAAAUUCUAACUAAAGAGAACUAAUUAUAAAAGAAAAUAACGUCUAGAAAGAAUAAUUAAAAAAAUAACUAAGGCAACUAUAUAAUACAAAUCUACACUUGGUAAUCACAACUUUCGAUCUUCCUUGUAUGGAGUAACAUUUUAAAGAGGCCGAACUAAGAUAAAGAUCUAAGCGAAAACUUCAUCGAUGGCAUAAGAAAGAUGGAUGGAAACCUUAUACAUAUUCUUACAAAUCCAGAUGUACGGGUGCUCGUGUGUGUUCAAUAAAGUAAAUAAUAGAAAAAAUUUCAAGCAAAAACCAAGCAUAAUAAAUUUCUAUGACCAUUAAGACAUCCAUAUUCUUAUCGCUUCUCUCCCACGUUUCACGAAGGCCCUCAGCCAUCUGCCAAUUCCAUUUGAAUUAUUUUUGAUAAAGCCCAUUAAAAAAAAAAAGUUCAAAAUGCGUGAAAAAUGCACUUUGAGACCUAAAAUGACAACCAAGUAUGCAAGUGAAACAAACUUAGUCUUAAACAAGUCCCAAAAUGGCAAUCAAGUGGGUAAGGUCAACAAACUUAGUAUCUCUUGAUUUGAAAUUUGAAAAAUAUUUGUAAGGUGUGAUAAAUUCAAAAUCAAAUCAUUUUAUGUUUAUGUUGUUGAAUUUAAAGAAAUCAAAUGAUUAUAAAUCAACUUUUAAAAAAUUAAAAAUUUGUUUCUAGACAUCCAUAUUCUUACUGAUUAAAAUUCAACUUACAUAUUUUUUUUUUUACUUAAUAUCUAAAAUUUACAUAUACUUUAAAAUUUAUUUCUUCUCUUUUCAUUUUUUUUCUCAUAUUUCAUUUUUCAAGAUUUAAAUAGUUUUUUUGUUUUAUUUGUACUUUUUUUGAUAGGUUAUGAGUUAUGAGCUUAUAGUUUAGCAUUGUUAGGUCGUUUUGAAAAUUCAAGUGAUACUCCAAGGUUAUUCUUGGAAUAUUCUUUUACAUUAUAUUUGUUAAAUCACUAUUUAAUUUAUUAAGAGCUUGAUAAAUAACCACUAAACUAAAACCAUAGAGGAUAAUUGAUAGACCACUAGUACAUGUUCUAUCACUAACUAACAGACGGUAAAACUUUGUUAUAUUUGUGAAUAUCUUCAGCAAUUUUAUCAUUUAAGACAAUUUUUCGUAUAAUAUCGACAUGAACAUCGUAAGAAAACUCAAAAUAAGUAAGUUAAAUUUAAAAAAAAAAUUGUAUGAAUGUUUUCGAGAACCAUUAAUUAUAAAUUCAACAUUUUUGAAUGAAAAAUUGGAUUGGUUUGUGGUGACGGCUAACAUGCAUGUCUAACAAUUAUUUUCAAUUUCUAAUACUUUCAUCCAUUGCCAAAGUUGGAAACUAAUGUUCACAAUUUUUUUUAUCUUAUUAAAUGAAAUUUCACAUUUCUUGAAAAUUUUGGAUUAUAAUUAUUUGAAAAACAAAAUAUAUAUUUUUUGCUUUAUCGUUACUGAAAAUUUUAUCUCGUAAAAUUUGAUUUUUUAGUCUAAAUUUUAAAAACAAAAUAUUUGUUUUAGUUAUAAAGAAAUUGUUUUGGGUUUUAAAUGGGUUUUAUCACAAAUAAUUCAAAUAUAUUUUAAUCCCUCAUCUCCCCUUCUCUCUCACUCACGUUUCAAAUUUCUUCCCCUACUUCUUCUCUAACGGCUCUCUCUCUCUCUCUACUUUCUCGUCCUCUCCCCUUCUCUUAUCUUCUUCGUCUUCCUCAAAAUCGCCCUAACAGCGCCGGAUUUCUCAACUGUCGAUCGAGUGACAAUCAUGUAUGCCUGCUUGACAAAGCCUUUUCGGUCUACCAAUAAAGGAAAAAACGAUUUCUGGUGACACGAAAGUUGUGCUCAACGCUCUUUUUCCUAUUCCACUGCGCGUCGUGGCCUUUCCCUUGCUGGUUGGAUGACUACUAUGGACGAAGAGCACAACUACUUCUAGUCUCUGGUCGAUAAGUACCCAAGGAAGGUAAAUUCCAGCGGAGAAAGUCGAGAGCUCCUUAGUUGAUCACAAAUCCUUUGAAAUUCUUUGUUCGUAGACUAAUUUGAAAUCCUUCCAAAUUCUUUGUUCGUAGACUAAUUUGAAAUCCUUCCAAUAUGGAUCCAUGCUGUCUUUUAUAUCCAUAAGAUACCAAUUAGAUUGUGUUAAUUAUUGUUUAUAAGAAAAUAUUUGUGUGCAGAGUUGCAGUGGGUAAAUCUUAAUGGCUGGCAGAAAAUUGGUUCGGGAUAUAUUACUCUCAACACAAAGUAUUUUUUAUCAGUUUACUUUCCAUCGGGUAUUUGCUCUUCCUAUGCUUUAUCCUUAUCCCAUCUUUCUCCGCUCUAGUCUUCAUAGGAUGGAUUUCUGUGGUGUAAAUUUAUUCAUCUAAUUUGUUUGAUUUAUGGUUGCAUUUAGGGAGAAGGUAAAUUACAUAAGCCAAAGUAGUUAUGGAAAACAUCUCCAAUUUACAGCAAGUUAAAGAAAAAAAAAAGAAGAGAAAAACAGCAGUUCAAAAAAAACUGGGCAUCUUGCUUCUUUCUUAUUGAAAGUUCUGCCGUUUCUUUCAAGUCAAAUUGACCACAAAAUGCUCAAAUGAGAUUCUUCAAUAGGAAUAUGUAACAAAAAAUAUAAUAUGUAAAAGAAUUUUUGUGAAACGUGGGAGAGAAGCGAUAACAUUAUCCUUCAAAAAAUUCAGAAGUAAAUAUUUAUGUGAAAGGACAUAUUAUUUGGCCAUUUGACCUUAUUUGUUAUUGAAUUAUUUGGUUGGAAAUGAUAAACUACACAUUAUCGUUUGCUUCAGUUGUGAUCUUGAUUAUGGGCUAUUUGGUAUUUUGCCUACAAACUGUAUAGUUAAUUAUCUGUUAGCUUUUGUUUUCCUGUCACAACUUUAUGUUUAUGUGGCUAAUUGUAGCUGAAAGUUUUAUUUACCAAUCUUAUUUUUCACAGCAUAAAUGAAACCGUGUUUCAAGAACAAGGUGGCGCUACAUCAUUCAAGGAAAUUCGUCGUAGAGGUCAUCGUUGAAUGACCUUGGAUUAUUCCUGAGUAUAGCUGUCAAUUAUGAGAUGUUUGAUAUUAAUAUGAAAGAAUACUGGAUGAUCUUGUAAGUUUUUUCCUUUGGAGAUGUGAUACUAACCUGUUUGAAUUAUCUAUUUAACAUUAUGGAUUAGGUCUUUCUCUUUACCAGAUUUCGUAGCUGAAGUUUAUGAAGUAAUCAAACCGGUGUUAACUUCUUAUAUAAAGGUUAGUGCUAACUGCUAAGCUUAUUUCUAAGAUGAAAGAUGCUUUUAUCCCCUCCCCAAAGAAUAUCAUUACUAUUUAUGUUGUGUUUCUGCUAACUAAUUCUUGCAUAGCAUCUGGUUUGAUAAUUAAAGUAAAAUUUCUGACAUGGAGGUUUUCAAGUUGUAAUAUAUAUUUUUAUGUUUUAGGUAGAUUCCCAAACUUUGAAGAAACACUACAGUACUAAGGUAAUUGAAUGUUGUAAGGCAGAGCAUCGGGCUUUCCAGAGCCAAGGUAUCUUCUUCGAUAACAAGGUAAGGAUAGUCCUGAUACUACCUUUCAUUUGUUAUUGAAGUUUAUUGUUCCUUUUGUUGGGGGCUUGGUGGUUGUGCACCUAUAUUGAUUUGUACUUCUGUUAAUUAAUUAUAGUCAUUCCUCUCUUGUCUGAGUAAUUAUUGUCAACCAUUUUGUUAGCAAAGGCUUCCCAUGGAUAUUGAGUUUGUUGUGCUGCAUGUCCACGAUGAUUUUCGUGAUUUUAGUUCUAGAUACAUAAAAAGGGCCUUUGCAUCACGACAUGAAUGACUAUUUUUUAAUAUGAACCUACAAUGCCCCAAAUGAAUGCUGGAUUAAAUUAGAUACAGGGCAGAUAUAGAGUGAGAUGGAGAGUGUUUGUGUGCUUUAGAGCCAUCUGUCCCUAAAACAUAGUUUCUUCCCCCCCUUAUAAGAAGUAAGUUUAUUGAUGUAUGUAAUUUACAAAAGGUUUGGUGGAACACCUACAACAAUCUUUUUGAAAUUUUUGGUAGGUUAUGAAUUAUGAACUUGUAUUGAAUAUUUGUUAGGUCGUUUUAAUAAUUCAAGUGAUGCUUAGAAAAUGCAACCGAGCUUAAACAAUUCUGCACAUUUUUAUAAAAUUUUUAGUUUAACCUUUUUAAUAAAAUUCGAUGGAAAUUCUUGUUUUCUUUUUGUAGGAAUAAAGGAAAAUGAAAUAUAACCAAACUUGGGAUCUUUGCAAGCAAGCUUCCAUGAAGAAACUAGGUUACAAGGGGAGGUCUUCUGUUCUCCUUUUUCUUUUUUUUUUCCAUCCGUAGAAUCUUGCUUAAAAUGCUUUGAGGACAAUGCAUAUUUUUAAGUGGGGGGUGGGGUUGUAGCCUUGCACAUUCCAGGUCCUUUGGGAAAUUUUCAUUUUGCAAAUUUUGCUAAAAAUGUCAAAAUUUAGAAAGUUUUGCAAUGCUCUAUGCUUAGAAUAAGUACCAUGUCUACUUCGCUUUUUAGCAUAAAAAAGCAUGUAUGCCUAACGCAUGAGAACGGAGCUCGGAUUUGUGAUUGUAUUUGUUCUUUGAAUAUGUUACAUAUGUUGAAAAUGCAUAUAUUGAUAGCUUAGAAAUGCGUAGAACACUUGGUUCAUUUUCUGAAUAUUGUGAAUUAUGUACAUAAUAAUAUGUGCGGUUCUCUUUUUUAUCUCAAUUUUAAUCCCCUUUUUGCCAUAUUCUAAUGCCUUUUUUAUAUUAAUUUUAAAUCCCUCUUUUGGCCAUACACAUUUGUAUAAGAUUGUUUGAAAGCAAAAUAUGAUUCUUAGGUCAGGUAGAAAGCAAAGUCGGCAAGUUCUUAGAGUUCUUCACCCAACAUAACAGUCGAUAAAAACAAAACAAUAUGACCAAGCUGCUAAGGGUUGCAAAACCCGACCCCCGCCUAGUGGGUCACUAGAGUUCCCCAGCAUGGCAGCCGGUAGAGAGGAGAGAGAAAAAAAAGAGGGAGCCAAGCCAGCCGCUUAGGUCAAGUAAAAUGCCCAAAUCCCCCGUUUCAGAGUUUUCGUGGGGAUCCUCUCCGCUUUUCUUGCCUAAGCAAAACCCGAUCCCGCCUAGUAGGUCCUUAGAUUUCUUCACCAAGCAUGGCAGGCGGUAGAGAGGGAGAGAGAAAAAAAAAAAGAGGGAGCCAAGCCAGCCGCUUAGAUCAAGUAAAAUGCGCGUCGAGAUCCCCCAGUUUCAAAGUUUUCGUGGGGAUCCUCUCCGCUUUUCUUGCCUAUGCAAAACCCGACCCUGCCUAGUAGGUCCUUAGAGUUCUUCACCCAGCAUGGCAGCCUGUAGAGAGGAAGAGAGAAAAAAAAAGGGAGCCAAGCGAGCCACUUAGGUCAAGUAAAAUGCACGUCGAGAUCCCCCGGUUUCAGAGUUUUUGUGGGGAUCCUCUCCGCUUUUCUUGCCUGAGCAAAACCCGAUCCUGCCUAGUAUCCUUAGAUUUCUUCACCAAGCAUGGCACCGGUAGAGAGGGAGAGAGAUAAAAAAGAGGGAGCCAAGCCAGCCGCUUAGAUCAAGUAAAAUGCGCGCCGAGAUCCCCCGGUUUCAGAGUUUUCGUGGGGAUCUUCUCCGCUUUUCUUGCCUAAGCAAAAUCCGACCCCCGCCUAGUAGGAACUUAGAGUUCUUCACCCAGCAUGGCAGCCUGUGAGAGGAGCGAGAAAAAAAAGAGGGAGCCAAGCCAGCCGCUUAGGUCAAGUAAAAUGCGCGCCAUGAUCCCCCGGUUUCAGAGUUUUCGUGGGGAUCCUCUCCGCUUUUCUUGCCGAAGCAAAACACGAUCUUGCCUAGUAGGUGCUUAGAGUUCUUCACCCAGCAUGGCAGCCUAUAGAAGGGAGCGAGAAAAAAAGAGGGAGCCAAGCAGCCGCUUAGGUCAAGUAAAAAUGCGCGCCGAGAUCCACCAGUUUCAGAGUUUUCGUGGGGAUCCUCUCCGCUUUUCUUGCCUAAGCAAAACCCGACCCUGCCUAGUAGGUCCUUAGAGUUCUUCACCCAGCAUGGCAGCCUGUAAAGAGGAAGAGAGAAAAAAAAAGGGAGCCAAGCGAGACACUUAGGUCAAGUAAAAUGCGCGUCGAGAUCCCCCGGUUUCACAGUUUUUGUGGGGAUCCUCUCCGCUUUUCUUGCCUGAGCAAAAACCGAUCCUGCCUAGUAGGUCCUUAGAUUUCUUCACCAAGCAUGGCAGCCGGUAGAGAGAGAGAGAGAUAAAAAAGAGGGAGCCAAGCCAGCCGCUUAGAUCAAGUAAAAUGCGCGCCGAGAUCCCCAGUUUCAGAGUUUUUGUGGGGAUCCUCUCCGCUUUUCUUGCCUCAGCAAAAUCUGACCCCCGCCUAGUAGGUACUUAGUGUUCUUCACCCAGCAUGGAAACCUGUGAGAGGGAGCGAGAAAAAAAAGAGGGAGCCAAGCAAGCCGCUUGGGUCAAGUAAAAUGCGCGCCGAGAUCUCCCGGUUUCAGAGUUUUCGUGGGGAUCCUCUCCGCUUUUCUUGCUUAAGCAAAACCCGACCCUACCUAGUAAGUCCUUAGAGUUCUUCACCAAGCAUGGCAACCUGUAGAGAGGGAGAGAGAAAAAAAGAGGGAGCCAAGCCAGCCACUUAGGUCAAGUAAAAUGCGCGUCGAGAUCCCCCGAUUUCAGAGUUUUUGUGGGGAUCCUCUCCACUUUUCUUGCCUGAGCAAAACCCGAUCCUGCCUAGUAGGUCCUUAGAUUUCUUCACCAAGCAUGGCAGCCGGUAGAGAGGAGAGAGAUAAAAAAGAGGGAGCCAAGCCAGCCGCUUAGAUCAAGUAAAAUGCGCGCCAAGAUCCCCUGGUUUUAGAGUUUUCGUGGGGAUCCUCUCCGCUUUUCUUGCCUAAGCAAAAUCCGACCCCCGCCUAGUAGGAACUUAGAGUUCUUCACCCAGCAUGGCAGCCUGUGAGAGGGAGCGAGAAAAAAAAGAGGGAGCCAAGCCAGCCGCUUAGGUCAAGUAAAAUGCGCGCCGAGAUCCCCCGGUUUUAGAGUUUUCGUGGGGAUCCUCUCCGCUUUUCUUGCCUAAGCAAAAUCCGACCCCCGCCUAGUAGGUGCUUAGAGUUCUUCACCCAGCAUGGCAGCCUGUAGAGAGGGAGCGAGAAAAAAAAGAGGGAGCCAAGGCAGCCGCUUAGGUCAAGUAAAAUGCGCGCCGAGAUCCACCGGUUUCAGAGUUUUCGUGGGGAUCCUCUCCGCUUUUCUUGCCUAAGCAAAACCCGACCCUGCCUAGUAGGUCCUUAGAGUUCUUCACCCAGCAUGGCAACCUGUAGAGAGGAAGAGAGAAAAAAAGAGGGAUUCAAGCGAGCCACUUAGGUCAAGUAAAAUGCGCGUCGAGAUCCCCCGGUUUCAGAGUUUUUGUGGGGAUCCUCUCCGCUUUUCUUGCCUGAGCAAAACCCGAUCCUGCCUAGUAGGUCCUUAGAUUUCUUCACCAAGCAUGGCAGCCGGUAGAGAGGGAGAGAGAUAAAAAAGAGGGAGCCAAGCCAGCCGCUUAGAUCAAGUAAAAUGCGCGCCAAGAUCCCCUGGUUUCAGAGUUUUCGUGGGGAUCCUCUCCGCUUUUCUUGCCAGAGAAAAUCCGACCCUCGCCUAGUAGGAACUUAGAGUUCUUCACCCAGCAUGGCAGCCUGUGAGAGGGAGCGAGAAAAAAAAGAGGGAGCCAAGCCAGCCGCUUAGGUCAAGUAAAAUGAGCGCCGAGAUCCCCCGGUUUUAGAGUUUUCGUAGGGAUCCUCUCCGCUUUUCUUGCCUAAGCAAAAUUCGACCCCCGCCUAGUAGGUGCUUAGAGUUCUUCACCCAGCAUGGCAGCCUGUAGAGAGGGAGCGAGAAAAAAAAGAGGGAGCCAAGGCAGCCGCUUAGGUCAAGUAAAAUGCGCGCCGAGAUCCACCGGUUUCAGAGUUUUCGUGGGGAUCCUCUCCGCUUUUCUUGCCUAAGCAAAACCCGACCCUGCCUAGUAGGUCCUUAGAGUUCUUCACCGAGCAUGGCAGCCUGUAGAGAGGAAGAGAGAAAAAAAGAGGGAUUCAAGCGAGCCACUUAGGUCAAGUAAAAUGCGCGUCGAGAUCCCCGGUUUCAGAGUUUUUGUGGGGAUCCUCUCCGCUUUUCUUGCCUGAGCAAAACCCGAUCCUGCCUAGUAGGUCCUUAGAUUUCUUCACCAAGCAUGGCAGCCGGUAGAGAGGGAGAGAGAUAAAAAAGAGGGAGCCAAGCCAGCCGCUUAGAUUAAGUAAAAUGCGCGCCGAGAUCCCCCAAUUUCAGAGUUUUUGUGGGGAUCCUCUCCGCUUUUCUUGCUUAAGCAAAAUCUGACCCCCGCCUAGUAGGUACUUAGUGUUCUUCACCCAGCAUGGCAACCUGUGAGAGGGAGCGAGAAAAAAAAGAGGGAGCCAAGCAAGUCGCUUGGGUCAAGUAAAAUGCGCUCCGAGAUCCCCCGGUUUCAGAGUUUUCGUGGGGAUCCUCUCCGCUUUUCUUGCCUAAGCAAAACUCGACCCUGCCUAGUAAGUCCUUAGAGUUCUUCACCAAGCAUGGCAACCUGUAGAGAGGGAGAGAGAAAAAAAGAGGGAGCCAAGCCAGCCACUUAGGUCAAGUAAAAUGCGCGUCGAGAUCCCCCGAUUUCAGAGUUUUCGUGGGGAUCCUCUCCACUUUUCUUGCCUAAGCAAAACCCGAUCCUGCCUAGUAGGUCCUUAGAUUUCUUCACCAAGCAUGGCAGCCGGUAGAGAGGGAGAGAGAUAAAAAAGAGGGAGCCAAGCCAGCCGCUUAGAUCAAGUAAAAUGCGCGCCGAGAUCCCCCGGUUUCAGAGUUGUCGUGGGGAUCCUCUCCGCUUUUCUUUCCUAAGCAAAACCCGAUCCUGCCUAGUAGGUCCUUAGAGUUCAUCACCCAGCAUUGCAGCCUGUAGAGAGGGAGAGAGAAAAAAAGAGGGAGCCAAGCCAGCCACUUAGGUCAAGUAAAAUGCGCGUCGAGAUCCCCCGAUUUUAGAGUUUUUGUGGGGAUCCUCUCCGCUUUUCGUGCCUGAGCAAAACUCGAUCCUGCCUAGUAGGUCCUUAGAUUUCUUCACCAAGCAUGGCAGCCGGUAGAGAGGGAGAGAGAUAAAAAAGAGGGAGCCAAGCCAGCCGCUUAGAUCAAGUAAAAUGCACGCUGAGAUCCCCCGGUUUCAGAGUUUUUGUGGGGAUCCUCUCCUCUUUUCUUGCCGAAGCAAAACCCGAUCUUGCCUAGUAGGUGCUUAGAGUUCUUCACCCAGCAUGGCAGCCGGUAGAGAGGGAGAGUGAAAAGAAAGAGGGAGCCAAGCCAGCCGCUUAGGUCAAGUAAAAUGCGUGUCGAGAUCCCCCGGUUUCAGAGUUUUCGUGGGGAUCCUCUCCGCUUUUCUUGCCUAAGCAAAACCCGAUCCCACCUAGUAGGUCCUUCGAUUUCUUCACCCAGCAUGGCAGCCUGUGAGAGGGAGCGAGAAAAAAAAGAGGGAGCCAAGCCAGCCGCUUAGGUCAAGUAAAAUACGCGCCGAGAUCCCCCGGUUUUAGAGUUUUCGUGGGAUUGAUCAUUCAAUUUCAGCAAACCCACUUGUUAUAGUCAAAACCAUAUUUAAGUUGACAAUGGUUAGAAAAUAUAAUAUUGCAUUUACCUCAUCACAUCUCUUUGUUCUUCCAACAACCAUUAAGAAGAAUCCCUGUAAACCGAACCCCAUGUAUUCCCUUUUCUCCUCACUCGCCAUAAUUUUGCCCUCUCCAAACAAAAUCAUUUCAGCCUUAUUUUUGUUCACUACCCAUUUCCAAAAAUUUCAUUUCCCUCUGAAAAUCUUUGUCGAUGGCCAAACCUGUGGCUGGGAACCGAAUGUUCUCGAUCAUGUCCAGUGCUGAACCUCCCGAUGGACUGCAAGGAUCAAGGGUUAAGGUUGGUUUUUCUUUUUUGUUGGUUAGAGUUCGUGUUCUAUUUUUUUUUUACUCGAGUUAAAUCCUUUGUAUUUGAAGAAAUUAAAGUUAUGGGAUGUGAUGCAUGUUGGCAGGGAGCUGAUUUCUUAGAAGUUGGUUAGUGUUCUUGUUCUGUUUUUUUUUUUAACUUUAGUUAGUUACAUUGUUUAUGAAGAAAUGAAAGUUAUCGGAUGUGAUGCAUGUUGGUUGGUAGGGAGCUGAAUCCUUUCUUAGGAACAUUUUGGGGAGCAUGGAGGCUGUUUAUUUGAGUCGGAAGCCCGCUGCAAAAUCUGUUUUGGAGUUUGUUCGAUCUGUCCAUGAUGAUAGAAAUUUGUUAUGAUCAUAUUGCAUUUUGAAGUUUUGGGGUAUUUUUCUUCCAUUUCUUUUCUUCUUCCAAUUUCUGCUUAUCUUUUUAUUCUUUCUUCUGUUUAUUAUUUUCUAAUGGUCACUUGUUGUGCAAUAUCUUUCUUUUAAGUCAUUGGCUACUUGUUGUGAAAUGGUGUCACUUCUUAGGAACGUUUUGGCGAGCAUGGAUGCUGUUUAUUUUAGUUGGACGCCCACUGCAAAAUCUGUUUUGGAGUUUGUUCGAUCUAUUCGUGAUGAUACCAAUCUGUUAUGAUCAUAUUGCAUUUUGAAGUUUUGGGUAUUUUUCUUUGGUUCUUUUCUACUUCCAAUUUCUGCUUAUUUUUUAUUCUUUCGUAUGUAUAUUAUUUUUCAAUGGUCACUUGUUGUGCAAUGUCUUUCUUUUAAGUCAUUGGCUACUUUAUAAAGAGAAGAACAAAGUGAACUAUGUUAUCUUUCUACUCUUCCUACCCCAUUUCCGUAAAGAAGCAAGAAAACAACUAACAGGCAGAUCAAUCUGCUUAAACAUUCAAUUGGCCAUUUAGUCUUUUGGGUUUUAACAUUCUGCCAUUCUUGUCGUUGCUCUUAAAUCUCCUCACAAUCUCUUUGUUAAAUCCCUGUAAACCGAACCCCAUGUCUUCCCUUUUCUCCCCAUCGGCCAUAAUUUUUCCCACUCCCCAGACAAAAUCGUUUCAACCUUAUUUUUCUUCACCACCCAUUUCCAAAAUUUUCAUUUCCCUCCGAAAUUCUUUGUCGAUGCCGAAACCUGCUGCUAGGAAUCGAUUGUUCUCGAUCUUGUCGAGUGCCGAACCUUCCAAUGGACUGCAAGGAUCAAGGGUUAAGGUUUAUUUUUAAGUUAUUGUUGUUCUGUUUUUUUCUGAUUUGAUUUCAUUGCAUUGUUUUUGAAGAAUUUAAAGUUAUGGGUUGUGAUGAUCCUUUCUUAGAAAUGGUUUUGCAGUCCUGGAGACUGCUUAUGUGAGUCAGAAUCACACUGUAAAAUCCACUUUGGAGCUUGUGCGAUCUUUUGAUGGUGAUACUAAUUGGUUAUGAUCAUAUUGCACUUGCAACUUUUAGGGUAUUUUUCUUCCAUUUCUUUUCUACUUUCAAUUUCAUUUUCAAUUUCUGCAAUUUUUUUAGUUUUUCAUAUGUAUAUUGUUUUCCAAUGGUCAUUUGUUGUGUGGUGUCUUUCUUGUAAGUCAUUGGUUACUUUGUAAAGAGAAACACAUUAUGCACUAUUUCAUCGUUCUACUCUUUCUGCAACAUUUCAAUAAAGAAGCAAGAAAACAGCUAGCACGCAGAUCAAACUUCCUUAAAUAUUCAAUUGGCCAUUUCGCCUUUUUGGAUUUAACAUUCUGCAUUUGUGUCGUUACCCUUAAAUCUCCUCACAAUCUCUUUGUUCUUCCAACAAUCAUUAAGAAAAAUCCCUGUAAACCGAACCCCAUGUAUUCCCUUUUCUCCUCACUUGCCAGAAUUUUGCCCACUCUCCAAACAAAAUCAUUUCAGCCUUACUUUUGUUCACUACCCAUUUCCAAAAAUUUCAUUUCCCUCUGAAAAUCUUUGUCGAUGGCCAAACCUGUGGCUGGGAACCGAAUGUUCUCGAUCAUGUCCAGUGCUGAACCUCUCGAUGGACUACAAGGAUCAAGGGUUAAGGUUGGUUUUUCUAUUUUUGUUGGUUAGAGUUCGUGUUCUGUUUUUUUUUUUUCUUACUUUGAGUUAAAUCCUUUGUAUUUGAAGAAAUUAAAGUUAUGGGAUGUGAUGCAUGUUGGUUGGUAGGGAGAUGAAUCCUUUCUUAGGAACGUUUUGGGGAGCAUGGAGGCUGUUUAUUUGAGUCGGAAGCCCACUGCAAAAUCUGUUUAAGGUUUAGGAGGGUCCUAUGUUCAAAAGUUUGAUGGUGUGUAUCUUUGUUGGCUCGACAUGUUUUUAAUUUAUGAUUGUUGUUGGUGGAGAGAGCGGAAGAUGUCGGGGACAGUUUGGAGAAGAUCAAGCGGCAGCUGGCCUCUGGGUCUGGUCGGAAUUUGUUGCAGGGUCCCCUUCUAAAGCGAUCUGAAACAGUAAACUAACGCAUUGCAACUCUUUCUGUCUUUCCUUUUGUUUUGAAUUGAUGGUUACUGCUUAAUUGCGCUGCCUUUAGGUCUUCCAUUUAAAUCGUUCUGACUGUUUUAGUGAUAUUUGACGACUUAAUUAAAUCACCUAGAAGUACUUAUUAAGAUUAGGACGUCGGGAUUUGUGAUUUCAAGGAGAUUAGAAAUGUGAGAAAUGCCCAUGUUCGUGAUCUAACUGUCGGCAUAUUUGUGUUUAUGAAUAUGGUCGUCGAUGUGAUAGUAUUCUCAGACUGUUUUGUAGUGCGCAUAUGUAGAAUUGUGGUCACAUUUGAUCAGCCUUCUAUUUUCUGCGUUUCUGUUCUUAGACAGCAUUUUUUAUGGCAAUGAGCCUUCAUUGUAGCAAAUCUGAUUUUCUCUAUUACAAUGUUUGCAGUUGAGGAAAUGGAAUGAGCGAUGGAUAGUUUUGGACCCAACAACAGGGAAAAUGGAGUAACCAUACGUCCCAUUUACACUGUUUUUGGUCCUUUCUUGCUUGGUUCAAUGUAGUAAUAUGUUGGUGGAAACAGCUCAUUUCUAAUGCUGCUGCCGAUGGUGAUGGGGUCAAUGGACCUCUGCCAAGAGUGUUCAUAUCACAAAUUGUUGUGGAUUAGUUGAGUAAAUAAACUCAGGUGCGUUUCACCGAAUUCUCGAUAUGCAGAAAUCUGAAUAUAUUUUUUCCUUCUGAAAUUUGGCUACAAGCUGUAUCUUGGUGCUGCAGUAAGUGUAUUGUUAGCGAUGUAGUAGGCAUAAGGUGGGAAUAGGAUGCAUUUUGUGUUUUAUCCAUUUAAGUUUUUGGUUUAUGCAACAAAACCUUAGCUUGAAUUACAACUUCAUAUCAUUUUUCCUACUGCAUUCAGUACGUAAUCAGAAGAUACACUGAAUGUUCUUGCAUUGGGAAGAAGCAUGCUGCUUUGGCUGGUUCUCUGGGUUCCUUCACAUGGGAAAAGCCUUUGCAUUCAGAGUUUGAGCAAUUAGCAAGGCUUUUAAUCUCCCAUGACUCUGAAACUUAUGUUAUUUAGGUCACCAUAUUAUCGUGGAGAAUGAACCAAAUUUCAUUUCUGAAUUGUGAUUUCACCAAGAAUUUGAAAACAAAAAUGCAUAUUGUUUUCUUUCUGAUUCUUUUUUAUUGCGUAUUAUUUUUUAUUGGUCAUUUACCUCCCACAGAUGACAUGAAUAGCGCCAAACAACUGCAAAGAGAACUGCCACACUCCUAUAAUUGCUGCUAACCUACCUAACUAAGAAUAUACGACAAUCUCGAAAAUGUGCCAAUGAGAGACAUCAUCAGAUCCAGAGAUCAAGUUUGCCAAGAACUACUCAUAGUAGAAUUUGCAAAUAUGUGGUGCAAACUGAGCCAAGAAUAGACAACUCCAACCUUUUGGAAUAGACGUGGUUAUCAACCUUUUGACUCUCUUCUUCUUUUCUUUCCUGACUUGGAUUCACUGCCCUGAUCAUUGGAUGAAUUUAGUGACUUUCCCUUUGAGUUCUCCAUUGUUUUCCCAGAAGUUGAUGAAUGCUUCACAUCUCCACUUUCUUUUUCUUUUGCUUUUGAAGAUGUGAACUUAACCUUGGUGGAGAGAUUGGUAUUAUUAGACUUAUCGCCUGUUUUGGUAGACUUGUCUUUUGAAACAGGAGUUUUUGGGGUUUCUUGUUUGGACUUCCCCGUCUUCGAUACAUCUUGCUUGUUGGACUUUGCAACAGCGGCAGGUGUGGAUGUCUCAUCGUCCUUAGAUUUGCUAGUCUUGUUGGAUUCGGCAUCAUCAUUCUUCGACUUGCCAGCGAUUUUUGGACCUGUGCUACCAAGUUUACUUCCAAUUUCAAGAGUGCCUUGAUCCUUUGAUUUACUUCCAAUUUUUGGAGGCUGGUUUCAGCACAGGUGUGGUUUCCUUUUUAUCAUCAUCACCUGACAAUCUUUUCAUGUUUUUUCCAGAAAUAGAUUUAGUUGAUCCCUUCUUUCUCUUGACCUCUGAUUGUUUUAACGAACUCCCCCCACUCUUGCUGGUUCCAUCACCCUUCCUAACAGACUGCUUCAAUGUCUUAGUUUCAAAAUCACUUGUAGUGUCAUUAGUUUACAUUUACAUUUACGUUGAAGAUAUAAUAUUACAUUUACGUCAUUAGUUUUUGGAUGAAUUGGUGAUUUAACAUGCUCUAGAGUGGAUAGUUUAGGAGGUCUGUUAGACCACCAUUGUUAUUUUACUUAUAAUAGAAGAAAGGAAAGUAAGGCACGUUAGUAAUCAACACAGUUACUUAUUCAAAAGGAUGACAGUUAUCUAAAACAGGAAGUUAAAUGGAUGAGAGGGAGAUGGGAAAGGGCAGGCAGUUUUUAGUAAAAGGAAGGGCCUGCCAGAAUUGUUCUGGUUUUAAUUGUAGUAUUUUGAAUUGUGUUUAUUUCUGUUUUGGAUUAGGAGGGUUUCUUUGCUUGUUGUUUGUAAUUUCUCUGUAAUUUUCUUUCUAUUGCAACUUUAAGUCUCAAAUAUCAAUAUAAUAGAAACAGUACAUAAGUGUUCUAUCAAGGUUGUAUGUUCAGAAGUGAGUAGAUAGUUGAGGAAGUCCUAUGUUCAAAAGUGAGUAGUUUAGGAGGGUCCUAUGUUCAAAAGUUUGCUGGUGUGUAUCUUUGUUGGCUCAACAUGUUUUUAAUUUAUGAUUGUUGUUGGUGGAGAGAGCGGAAGAUGCCGGGGACAGUUUGGAGAAGAUCAAGCGGCAGCUGGCCUCUAGGCGUCUGGUCGGAAUUUGUUGCAGGGUCCCCUUCUAAAGCGAUCUGAAACAGUAAACUAACGCAUUGCAACUCUUUCUGUCUUUCCUGUUGUUUUGAAUUGAUGGUUACUGCUUAAUUGCGCUGCCUUUAGGAAUUUGGCAAGCAUGGAGGCUGUUUAUUUGAGUCGGAAGCCCACUGCAAAAUCUGUUUUGGAGUUUGUUCGAUCUGUUCAUGAUGAUACAAAUUUGUUAUGAUCAUAUUGCAUUUUGAAGUUUUGGGGUAUUUUUCUUCCAUUUCUUUUCUACUUCCAAUUUCUGCUUACGUUGUAUUCUUUCUUAUGUAUAUUAUUUUCUAAUGGUCUUGUUGUGCAAUGUCUUUCUUUUAAGUCAUUGGCUACUUUGUAAAGAGAAAAACAAAGUGAACUAUGUCAUCGUUCUACUCUUUCUACCCCAUUUCCGUAAAGAAGCAAGAAAACAGCUAACAGGCAAAUCAAUCUACUUAAACAUUCAAUUGGCCAUUUAGUCUUUUGGGAUUUAACAUUCUGCCAUUCUUGUCGUUGCCCUUAAAUCUCCUCACAAUCUCUUUGUUAUUCCAACAAUCCUUAAGAAAAAUCCCUGUAAACCGAACCCCAUAUGUUCCCUUUUCUCCACAUCGGUCAUAAUUUUGUCCACUCUCCAAACAAAAUCCUUUCAAUCUUAUUUUUUUUCACUACCCAUUUCCAAAAUUUUCAUUUCCCUUGGAAAAUCUUUGUCGAUGUCGAAACUUGCGGCUGGGAACCGAUAGUUCUCAAUCAUGUCCAGUGUUGUACCUCCCAAUGGACGGCAUGGAUCAAGGGUUAAGGUGGAUUUUUUUGUUAUCGUUGGUUAGAAUUCUUGUUCUGUUUUAGGUUAAGGUGAAUGAUUGUUGUUGGUGGAGAGAGCGGAAGAAUGUUUAAGUGUUAGCUUUCUCUACUCAUAACCUACUCAAAUAUUAGAAAAAAGGACUUAACGACACAAAUUGCAUCCAAGUGUCCAGAUGCAACACUAUAGUGCCAAACAAACCUAACUAGUGUCCAAAAUGUGCCUAAGAUUUAAAGACAACCAAACGAUGCUUAACUGUGAGCUUUUCCAAUGCAUAAGCUACCAAAAAGUGAGAAAAAAAGGUCUGAACAACCUAAAAUCGCAACCAAGUGCCCAAAUGCAACUACUAUAGUGCCAAAUAAACCUAAGUAGUGUCCAAAAGGUGCCUAAGCUUUAAAGAAAACCAAAGAAUGCUUAAAUGUGAGCUUUCUAGACUCAUAACCAACUAAAAAGUUAGAAAAAAGAAUUUAACAACCCGGAAUGACAACCAAAUGCCAAGGUACAACAACUAUAGUGCCAAACCAAGGUGUGUAAGCUGUAAAGGAAACAAAAGAAUGCUUAAGUGUUAGCUUUCCCGACUCAUAACCUAACAAAAGUUAGAAAAAAGGACUUAACAACCCGAAAUUGCAACCAAGUGCCAAAGUGCAACAACUAUGGUGCCAAAGAAACCUUAUUAAUGUCCAAAAGGUUCCUAAGGUUUAAAGACAGCAAAAAAAAAUGCUUAAGUGUGAGAUUUUCCAAAUCAUAACUUUAAAAAAUGUGAGAAAAAGGACUUAACGACCUGAAGUGGAAAUCAAGUGUCCAAGUGCAACAGCUAUAAUGCCAAACCAACCUAGGUAGUGUCCAAAAGGUGCCUACGUUGUAAAUGCAAUCAAAGAAUGCUUCAGUGUGAACUUUCUCUACUUAUAACCUACCAAAAUGUUAGAAAAAAGGACUUAACGACUCGAAUUGCAACCAAGUGCCCAAGUGCAACAAAUAUAGUGCCAAACUAACCUAACUAGUGUCCAAAAGGUGCAUAAGGCUUAAAAUCAACCAAACAAUGCUUAACUGUGAGCUUUUCCAACUCAUAAGCUACGAAAAAAUGAGAAAAAAAUGACUUAACAACCCGAAAUGGCAACCAAGUGCCCAAAUUCAAUAACUAUAGUGUCAAACCAACCUAACUACUAUCCAAACGGUGUUAAGUUGUAAAGGCAACCAUUGAAUGCUUAAGUUUGAGCUUUCUUAAUUCAUAAGCUACCAAAAAAUCACAAAAAAGGACUUGAUGAACAAAAAUUUCAACCAAGUGCGUAAGUUAAACAAAUAUGCUGUUAAACAACCUAAUUAGUGUCUAAAAGGUGACUAAGGUUUAAAGACAACCAAAGAAUGCUGAAGUGUGAGCUUUCCCGACUCAUAACCUACCCAUAAGUCAGAAAAAAUGAUUUAACGACUCGAAAUGGCAAGCAUGUGCCCAAGAGCAACAAAUAAAAUGUCAAACGUACCUAAGUAGUAUCCAAAAGUUGCGUAAGCUAUAAACGCAACCAAAUAAUAUUUAAGUGUGAGCUUUCUCAACUCAUAACAAACAAAAAUGUAAAAAAAAAAAAAGACUUAACGACCCCAAUUGGCAACCAAGUGCCUAAGUGAAACAACUAUAGUGCGAAACAUACCUAAGUAGUGUCCAAAAAGUGCCUAAGCUGUAAAUGCAACCCAAGAACUCGUAAGUGUGAGCUUUGUCGACUCAUAUCCUACCAAAAUAUCUGAAAAAAUGACUUAACGACCUGAAAUGGCAACCAAGUGCAUAUGUGCAAUAAUUAUAGUGCCAAACAAACCUAAGUAGUUUAAAAAACGUGCCUAUUAUAUAAACACAACCAAAGAAUGCUUAAGUGUGAGCUUUCUCAACUCACAAUCUACCAAAAUGUCAGAAAAAAGGACUUAACGACCCAAAAUGAAAAUAAGUGCACAAAAAGCAACAACUAUAGUGCCAGACCAACCCAAGUAGUGUCCAAAAGGUGCCUAAGGUUUAAAGACAAACCAAGAAUGUUUAACUGUGAGCAUUCCUGAUAUGGAUCAAGAAAUCAUGAUUGAAUCAAAUGAAGAAGUUGGGGAGAUGCAAUGCUUGGAAGUUGAAGAGUUAUUUUGGGCAACUCAAAAGUCAUAAAUUUAAAUGUUUAAGAAAUAAUGUUUAUGUGUUUUUAGUUAUUAUGUUAGUUGAAAGGUUAUCAAAUUAAAUGUUUUGACCUUUCAUUUCAUAUUUUAAUUAGUAUAAAUAGGGUUGUAAUUUUUCCACAUUUAAAAAGAAGAA